rnacentral:lncRNA from 1 species
UAGCAGAUUAUCAAGUUGUUGUCGAGGUCCCUGAAUUCCUGCUUUUAUCUAGAAGGCACAGACAUGUAGCGUUUUUGGUUGGAGUUCUUACCAGAAUGAAGGUCCCGAUAGUUGAGCAACCCUCUAUCAUUGAUAAAGUAUUUAUUGAGGUUGAACGAGCUGACAACCCCCAGCUUGCUAUUGCUUGCUUCAUAAAGGAUAUCACCAUAUUCCCUCGAAUGGUCAACAUAGCUUAUCGGUCAGAGUGUUUCGAAGGAGUGAGAAUUGAUAGUUUGGAAGAUACUGAUAGACGAAAACAGUGUGUUAUUUGUAGAGAGAGCCUUGAUCACGUUGAGGAUAUAGAAGAAGGGAUUGAUCGUAGUCAGUUGGUUCGCUUGCCGUGUUCCCAUCUUUAUCACGGUGAUUGCCUUUCCAAAUGGUUGCCCAUGAGUGCGUUGUGUCCUUUGUGCCGAUACGCAUUGCCGGUUGAACAGACGAUGCCGUUUGUGGAACAAACGAUGCCGGUUGUGGAACAGAUAAUGCCGGUUGUGGAACAAGCGAUGCCGGUUGUGGAACAGACAGCUGAGCCAGUGUGGCCGCAGUUGCAUUGGCCUAUGCUGCUCACAGCAUCUGCAGGUGGUAUACUAACCGCCAUACUGGUAUGUAGAUUAUGGAAGAAAACCCAAGUGUAAAAUUAUUAGCAGAUUUUGACAAUUUCAUCAAAAUCAGAUAAGCAUGGAAUAACUUAUUGUUUGUUGCUCCCUUCUAUUUGGCUUGUCAUGUGGAUUGCUUGAAGUGGUUAUGAAUAACAAUAAUAAAAUCUUUUUAUAUAUAGUGCAAUGGGCUAUUACCUGUUCAUUUUUGUUGAUGGAUUUUUGUUCUUCUCAAAGAAGUUGGCUUGUUCAUACAUGGAGGGAUUUUAGUGAUUUCUGUAACUGCAUCAUAGCAAACGCUAAUCAUAUAGAAACAAAAGAGGAACAUGGUGAAUUGGAUAAUUUGUUCCUGGCAAAUGCCCACACACCGUCUCAAUCAUAGUUUAACCCAGGGUUCAAGGCUUCAAGGGAACCUAACCCCAAUGUGAAUUUAGUUUUAUUGUUUGACAAUCAUAAAUUACACCCUAAAUUAACCCCAAUGUGUUUGUUCACAAUACCUUGCUAGGUGCGUGUAGAUGGAAGAGUGAACUGGAUGUAGUUAUUAAUAUGGAGACAAAAUCAAAUAUUGUCGAGAAGUUGAGAUGGAGAUGGAAUUUGUGGCGGAAGUCUCAUAUCACUUCUUCAACUUCGGUAGGUGUGGAUUGUGAAUUUCUUUGGAUGUUAUACGGUGUUUGAUUGGAAGUGUCUGAGAGAUGCAGUUUCUAAUCUGCGCUUUUGCAUGGCAAAGAGUUGGCUAGUUUAUGACACCGCGGGUCAAAUAAAUGGAGUUUGUGGAGUAUGGAGUGAAAGAAUGCGAGAAAGAGCCGGAGCUUCUUAGCUAUCCGCCAUGAUCAUAACUUCAUAAGCCCCCAAUUCAAGAUUACCAAGUCGGUGUUAAGUGAGUCGAAAUGAUGCCAAGGAGCUGCUCUUUUGAAGAAGCUAUUUGUUUUUCUCAAUAUUAAUCUGAGUUAUCUACUUGGAUGUCUUCCCAUCCAGUUGUUUCAAAGAUUAACCUUGAUCUGGUUGUGGCACAAACUUUCCCUAACUUUGUUGCGAAUUCUUUUGCGGAAGUUUGGAUGAGAAAAGAAAAAUUCAUUGGAGAUCAUGGGAAAGAAUGAUCCCAAAGAAAUUGGUGGAAUGGGUUUAAGUCGUUUGUAUGCGCAUAGUCUUGCUAUGUUGGCCAGACAAGGGUGGCGUCCUGAUGACAAGGCCCAAUUCACUGCUUGCACAGGUUGUUUCUAAGGCAGUAUAUUACUCUUAUGGCUCGUUUCAUUCUCACGGAGUAUAAUGAAUGCUCGACCUGUGUUACAAGCAGGAUUGCAGUGGAGGAUAGGGAAUAGUAUUUCAGUCAAUAUUUGCCUAUUUGGGAUGAGGAAUGAGGAGACUGGAGAUGGGAUUUGACUGCGCCACAUUCUGCUUUUGAACAUCAUCUUGUCUUUCAGAUUCUUAAAAUUCCCUUUAGCAGGAGAUUUGGAGAAGAUAAGUGGCAUGGAAGAUGACUAAGAAGUAAGAAUGGUUCCUUCUCUGUCAAGUCGCCGUAUAUGUUGUUAUUGGUCAUGUUUCCGCAACCACUUCUGGAGGAGACCCCUAUGCGAGUAUCUGGACUCUGGAAGUCUGGAGAGCAAAAGUUCCCAGUGAAGUUGCUAUUUUCGCUUGGAGGGCAGCUCACAAUUUGCUUUCAACGCGCACGGGUUUAACUGCAUAGGGUUACUCAGGCCCCUUGAGUUGUUGUGUGUGUGAUUUUGGAAGUAGAGACUUCUGAACAUCUCUUUCGAAGAGUGCAAGAUAGCAAAAGAAGUGUUAUCGAUCAGCUCCUCCCUUUUCUUUCGGAGUCUCUUCCAGCUCUUGGAAAGAUUGGUUACUCUAGAAAUCUCAGGUUCUACCUUCUCAUCUCUUUGACAAAUUCCUAAUCAUAGUGGAGUAUUUGGCUCAAUAUUCCUAUUAUUCUCUGGAGAAACAAAGCUCAUUGUUCAGAGCGUAAUUGCUUAUUCUAUGGAUUGGUACGAGGAGUACAUUCAAGCUUCACAAGUUAGUCCUCAGAAGAUGCCUAAGCCUAAAGUGGUCAAGUAUUGGACUACACCACCUGAUUCCUACCUGAAAUUGAACACAGAUGGUACCUUUCUGCCAAAUAUUGCUUUUGAUGGCGCUGGAGGAGUUAUCCGAAACUCCCACCCAUGGUCAAUUUCCGGCUGGUUUCGCAGCUAGGUCUGAUUUUGUCACCUCUUUCCUUGGUACAAGCUAUGCAGUCGGACUCGGUCAUUGUUGAAAGUGAUGUAUGCAGGCAAUACAAGCUCUCAGAUCCUCCAUUGAUAAUAUAUCCCCUCUUGGAGCUUUAAUUUUUGAUAUUCAAAAGUUAGCUCACAGUAUUCCAAAUUGUUCUAUCACUUAUGCUUCUAGACAGAGGCCAAUAUGGUGGCAAUAUGAGAAUUCUGUCCGUGUAGAUUGGCUUGUUCAUGCUCCUUAGCGUAUUCAGGAUGCCCUAUUGUACGAUGUUCGUACUCAUUAAUAAAACUUCUUCUAUUCUUCAAAAGAAAACAGAUUAACCUUGGUCUUAAGACUGUACAGCACACAAGUAUUCAAGAUUGCUGAUCUUUGAGGUUAAGCUAGAUUUCAAGUGGUUGUUUUGUGCUGCGAUUUUCUGGAAUGGUACUUCUCAUAUAUAGGUGUGACUAUUUCCGUAUCAUUAUAUGUUGGCAAUGUAGCUACAAUUAAUUGCGGCAGAGCAAAUAAAAUCAGCUUUGGCAGGGGUGCCUAAUGCUAUAAAUCUAUAAUGGAAAGCAGCGCGUAUUUCGGUUGGACCUACUGUAGCUGCUGCUAUAGUGGCAACGGCUGGUCUUAACAUGGCUGAAGAUUUAGCUCAAGCUCCAGCAUGGUCCUCAGUUAUCUGUCGAGUACAAAGGCUCGAGGAAUUGGCUCUCAAGCAGUCGAGGCAAUUGAUGAAUGCUUAUGUUCCUAUCAAGGGUGGCUGCAGCAGCCCCCAAUCUCUUCCUGGGGUGCCUGUCAAGUGUGAUGCUCCGAACACAUCUCAUGGGGAGUUUCUUAUUCUCAAACCAGUACCAUUUCUCUUCUUCUCCAAAAGAUGCCUGUCAAUCCAACACGACAUUAUGACAUAAAAUCGUACCUAGUAGAAACAGCGAGACUACUGAAUACUGAUGCUCCGUACAUACCGCACUGCAUUCCUAAUUGAAGCAACAGAAUCUCCCAUUAUUCAACCCUGAUCUAACAAUAACAGAAUUUCAAGCCCUGAACUAACAAUGAGGUUCAGAAUGUGUGCAAGGCACCGAACAUGCAAGCACUUGCCUCUUAAAACCGGUUACUUCUCCCACCCUAACAUCUUUUCCCUAAUAUAGUCAAAUGCUACCUUGUUUGCACUCGCAUUAUCCACUGAAAUGGUCAAGACUCUCUCCACUUCCUAUUCAAGUAAACAGUCCUCCAAAACCCUAAACCCAGCCUUGGUCAUGGAAUUCCUGAACCCUAAAGCCGGCCUUGGUCAUGGUACUAAUAACAGCAGCUCUGCUGACUUAUAAAUAAGAGCCUUCAAGACUCACUCAGUGAGCUUUUAACUCAUGUGCUUACAACAAAUUCAUUCUAGAAAGCUAAAUAGAGUAAGGACAUGUUUGCAGAUCAGUCAAAUCCAGUAACACCAGCGAUGGCUUCUUCUUGAUGAUGCACUUUUUUGGGUUGGUGAGAUCGGGGUCAAUGACUAUGCUUACACACUUUGAUCUUCUAUACCAGGUGAUAGAUAUAAUCAGAUGGUACUAAAGAUGUCGCAUUUCCAAUCAGCAAAAAGAAGGUUCUCAUAAUUCUACUUUCUUGGGGAAGAUCACAUAAACCUACCUCUAAUUUUAUUUACCAGAUUAUUGGUAAGUAUUUGUAACAUAGCGUGGGGAGUAAAAGGUUGAAACUGACCCAUAUUAUCUAAUAGAGCAUAAUUACUUCUUUAACAAAUCUACCACCUUUACAUUACAGAUGGCUCUGCUAAAUGCUUAUGAAAGAAGUAUGUGCCUGAUAAAACGAAUACUACAAAAGCAACAUUCAGUUAUAUUAGACUCAUUUUGUAAGUAAAACUAGUCGAUUCACAUAGAACAAGAAAUCCAGGUACUAAAGCUGAUAAGAUAUGAUGUCUAGUAAAUUCCCAGUAUGAUAUAUGCUUAUGUAUAAUGCAUGUAGAGUGCAUACAAGAUCAAACGACCUACAGACAAUUUGCAGAAUGUGUUUCCCAUCCACUCAUGUACAUGUGCUAGUGACUGUGAUCAAGCCUUUGUUCAACUUUAGAGUUACUGUCCCUGUUGUUCUCCUCGAGAUGUUCUCCAUGAAAGAAUCCACCGACUCCCGAAGUGGGUCGAACCACCUGCCUGCAUUAACCAGAUCUGCAUAUUUCUGCGCAAACGAGUCUUUAACCUGCAGUGUUUCUUGAUCCAUGGUUAAGGACUCCAACUUCCGUGCUGCAGCAAACAAUAUAUCAACUCCCGGGGUCUCAUAGACAGCACGACUAAGACAGUUUCCAAACAUGUCCAUAUGACCAAUUCCGUGUCUCCUGCCGAUUUCAUUAAGCUUUGUAAGCAAAGAUGCCGGUGAAAGCUUUUUCCCGUUGACUGAAACAGGAAUUCCUGAUACAAUCCCAAUAUCUACAGACCUAUAAGAAAACAGAAGCAUGAUUAAGAAACUAUGUAUGUACCUAUGAACUAAGAUCUAAACCAAAGUUCAACUGCAACUUACUCAGCUUCAUGCGGUGCAUCUUCAGGAUUGACGGUUAACAUGAAUGUGUCCUUCUUUGGCUCGUUUUCUUCUCCCGAAGUAUCACCCUUUGAUCAAACACAAAUAAACAUUAAGAACUGAAACAGGAGGCAAAUAACCGUAAAUUGACCCAAAAAAAAAAAGAACAAAAGCCUUGCCAAAGACUUGAACUUGUAACCUAGUUUGCUUGUGCACGCACCAUUAGACAUAUUUCUGUAAUACUGUAACUCAUCAAUCAAACAUAAUUAAAACUGCCUAAACCGUGACACUCAUAUAUCCAAGGGAAUAUCCACUGUCCGUACAAGAAUGCAAUGCUACUCAUCAGUUAUGACAUAUAGGGAAGGGAUUAGAAGUUCAGACUGAUCCUUUGGAAGACAACCAUGCUUAUCAACUGGGAGCAAAUACUGACAUCAAAUAUUACAUAGUGCAGAUAUGCAGCGUUCAUAAAAACCUACACAUAACAUAAAUUUACCACAACCUAAGAUUUGAGCAUUAACGAAACUGAAACUACCUCACGACUACGGCACCAUAAGUUCCCAUCUCUGCUGUUGAUGGAUUUAUUCGACACUGGGACAGGCACAUUAUGCUUCUUAGCAUGUCCAAUAGCAUCUUCACUACCCAUAGAGUCCCACUCCCUCCAAGGAGCCACCACAAUCAAUUUGGGGUCCAGAGCAAAGAAUGUCGGCUCAAACCGAAUCUAGACAGACAGGGAAGGUUGUGUAAGAGAAACAAUAGAUAUGUUGUAACAUUAAAUGCUUAAGUGCAAAACAUACUUCACUAUGUUCUUUCCCUGUGCAUCCAUGAGCUACGGCAUCCGCUCCAACAGCUUUGGCAACAUCUACCAUGGCCUGAUUUCAGACAUAGAUAGGAUUUAAACUUCAAAAGUGAGACCAAAAUAAAUAAUCUGGAAAGUAAAAUUAUUAGGUACUAAAAGCUAUACUCAACUCUGCCUGAAACAGAGAACUGUUCCCGGAAGAGCCAAGGCAGUUGUUAAGAAAUCCAAACGCUUUUUNNNNNNNNNNNNNNNNNNNNNNNNNNNNNNNNNNNNNNNNNNNNNNNNNNNNNNNNNNNNNNNNNNNNNNNNNNNNNNNNNNNNNNNNNNNNNNNNNNNNNNNNNNNNNNNNNNNNNNNNNNNNNNNNNNNNNNNNNNNNNNNNNNNNNNNNNNNNNNNNNNNNNNNNNNNNNNNNNNNNNNNNNNNNNNNNNNNNNNNNNNNNNNNNNNNNNNNNNNNNNNNNNNNNNNNNNNNNNNNNNNNNNNNNNNNNNNNNNNNNNNNNNNNNNNNNNNNNNNNNNNNNNNNNNNNNNNNNNNNNNNNNNNNNNNNNNNNNNNNNNNNNNNNNNNNNNNNNNNNNNNNNNNNNNNNNNNNNNNNNNNNNNNNNNNNNNNNNNNNNNNNNNNNNNNNNNNNNNNNNNNNNNNNNNNNNNNNNNNNNNNNNNGACAAUGACAGUGUCUGAGCCACCACUAUAGGCCAGAACAACCUUGUUCAUUUUGGCACAUAAUCCAUGAGGAGGAGCUUCGUGUCCUUCUUGAGGUGUAGGAGGGACAUUUCCUCCAUUUGAAUUGUCCUGCAGCUCACACUUGUUCUCACCCAACUGCAUAAAAGAAAAGGAUCUUUCAAGGCCUAUUAGACAAAUCAAAAUUUGAAAUGACUGCAAUUACAUAGGGAAAUCGAUAUAAAACAGAAUGCAUUAUGGAUAUAGGUAGCUCUACCUGAGGUGGAGGAGGAGGGAAAUGUCCUCCAUGAGGAGGAGGAGGAGCUCCAUCUCCACCAGGAGGGGGAGGAGGAGGAGCUCCAUCUCCACCAGGAGGGGCCUCCUCAUCAGGUGGCGGACGUUUGAAAGCUCGCCAAAUAGUGUAGAGAAGCACUGACGCAUGAAUGAUGUAACACGUACUUGUACACAGAGAAAUCCCCUCGAACAAGCCCCUAACAUCAAGCCUCAAUGCUAUGGCAGCCAGUAGUCUCCUCACUAAAGCAGCAAGGUUACGGGGCCUACCCUGUGUGUCUUCAGAUAGAGAAUGGAUAUUGCGGCGCCCCCCUGAUUGCGGUGGCUCUGUACCAGGGAUCUGUGGGAGUGGAGGAGGGCCUCGAGGACGCUUGAUUGCAGUUGGACGCCUGAGUGGAAGCACAGGGAUGCCACGUUUAGUCCCGGUCCUCAUGCCUGCUGCAAUUUGAACUCCGGCAAUAAGAUAUGGCAUGAUGUCCAGUGCCACACGAAGAUGCUCAACCUCAAUCUGUACGUUAUGUGCAGAAUCCCUGAGAAAUAUAUAAAUGAGUGUUAUACUCCAAAUAGACCUAUCACUGCAUCAAACCCCCCACAAAACCUAUUUGCAACUCAAUUACUCACCUACUUUCUGCAUGUGCUUUGGGAAGAAUGUUGGCCAGACUUUCCUCAGUUUUUUUAGGGCCAUCACGCUCAUUCUUUUUGUUCUAGAGUAGAAGAAAAUUACAGUUGAGCAAUGACAAUAGAAUAGUUGAUUUUGAGAAUGAAAAUUGCGUACCUGUACCACGUUCAGUUCACCAUAUGCAGAGGUCACAGAACAUAUAGAAUCCAUUCUGCAGAAAAAAAAUUCGGCUCCGGAAACCGAAGACGGUCGUCAGACCGAGCAAGUGGAAAAUGAAAAAGUCGAAAACACAGAGCAAACAAGUAAAAAACGACGCCGUUUCUUAAGCUCCUUUCCGGAGAUCGGAAACGGUGUCGUUCAGAUCGGCCGAGCAAGUGACGACGCUGUUCCCGGUACUCCAUUACAAUCAGCGCCGGAGAUCGGAGAAGGCGUCGUUCGGAUCGGCCGGAGCAACGCCGUUUCCGAUUCUCCAUUAUAAUCAGCGCCGGAGACGGCGUCGUUCGGACCAGAAAUUCAAAAUGAAAAUCGGUUUACCUGGAGAAUCGGAGAGGAUCUGAGGAGACGUGGAAAUGCAGAGAGGGAAUCGCCAGAGACUUGAAAACCCUAAAAUGAGAGAGAGGAGAGUGGUGGGUUUGUACUGAGUCCUCUUUGAAGUCUCGACUGGGUUUCCCGGGUUUUGUACUCGCGCUUUUAAAAUGAAAUCCCACUGAGCGCUUUUUUUUAAAACAAAAUAAAAAUAAAAAUUCGAAGAGGCUUCCUUCCUUGGGAUCCCUCCGCGUGUUAACAUCCUCAAACAACAAAAAAACGUGUGAUUUUCUAUUUUAUUUAUUUUAUAUUAAUACUGUUGGGUCAACCGGGUUGGCCGGUUUCUUUAAUGGGUUUCCGGUUAGACGAUCCCGACGAAAAGUCUAUCUCGGCGAUCGGAUGUUUAUAAAUCAAAGUCAUGUGUCGUCGUAAGUAUUUCUGGUCGAGUUGUAUACAACAUUUAAGUUCUUUUAAUCGAAACUACAUUUUACCUAAAAAAAAUAUAUAAAACAAAAUCACACAAGUCUUUAACACAGUUGAGACUUGAGAGUUGAAACCAAGUAAUAAAGAUGUUAAAAAAACAAACUUAGAGUGAAAUACAAAAAAAUUAGAAAAAUAAAAAUAAUGAUGUGACACGCGAUCUUUCUAAGAAGCCUUCAAUCCAAACGUUUGUUUGGACAUUCCGGAAUGAUUUUAAAUUCAAAAAAGUAAAUAACUUUUUGUCUUUUACUUAACAUGCAUCGUAUAUGAACAUUAAAACAAUGUGUAAUUCAUGAGUCACACGCUCACACCUAAGUGUUACUCUCUCUAUCACUCUCGUUCAUUUGGAUUCUUUGUUUUCCGUUUGNNNNNNNNNNNNNNNNNNNNAUAAACCAAACAACACAUAAAAGUGAAUGAAAUAGAAUAUAAAAUACAAUUUUUGAUAGAGUCAUCCACGUACAGUUACUUUUCACGAACUAAACAACACAUAAGAAUGAGAAAAGUAGAAUAUAAAUUAAGAUAUGAUAACAAGAAAAUCUAAGCAUCUACUUGUACAAAAUGGAAAGAGUGUUUUUACAUUUGGGAAACCAUUUUCCCAUUUUUCCUUUCAUCAAGAAAAAUAUUUUUUAUAUUUUGUAUUUAAAAUACAGGAAAAAAUAUCUUAUAUGCACAAUUACUUUUCAUAAACCAAACAACACAUAAAAGUGUAUGAAAUAGAGUAUAAAAUACAAUUUUUGAUAGAGUCAUCCACGAAUGAUUACUUAAGAAUGAGAGAAGUAGAAUAUAAAUUACAAUUUUUGAUAGGACGUCGAGUCAAGUUGUUUUGAUAGGAUGUUGAGCCAACUGUGGUCAAUACGCUAAAACACACCGUUUUUAACACACAACCGGUCGAUUUGCACGUGACUAUCACACGCAAAUACAGCAGUGAAAUGGCGAAGACUGGGCAAAGCUCUCUCAGAGUGAGAAGAAUGGAGGAGAAGGCAAGCGUCCGUGUUCUAAUCCCCAAGCUCAUUCUCCAAAAGAACGACGAACCCGCCGGCCUCCGAUGGCUGAUCGGAUCCUCAUUUUUACCGCCACUCACUGUCGUCUCCGCACUCAAAUGCAUCCACACCGAUUCCUCCUCCUCCUCAUCUUCAGACUACUCCAGAGAAUCAGGUACCGUUUUAAUUUUCCGUGAAUUCAAAAACCGAAAUCCAAUUCAUUUCGGUCUCGUCAUAUCAAAUUCCUGAUUAGCUUCGUUAAUCUGAGCAGAAGAGCUUUGGACGUUACUGCCGAAAGGAUUCCACGUCAUCGGAGCUUUAGUUGUGGCCGAUUCCGACGAAGAGAAGCGCGGCGGCGAGGCCGUUGCGGCGGCGAGAAGGUUACGGAAGCUAAUGUGCGGCGGAAGUGAGAGAAUGGAUGAGCAGGGAGUAAUUGGAGCCGUUGCGGAGUCUAGAGGUGGAGGUAUUGGGUUUUACUUGUCGAAAUCGGAGAGUUGUGAGAGGUUUGAGUGUGUUGAUGUGGUGUAUGAUGAUGAUCCGGAGAGGUUUGUUUGGGAGAGGGGUUGUUUGAUUCGGUGUGAGCUUCCUUUGAAGCUGCCGAUUUACUAUCCAGUAAAUAAGCCUUCUGGUAAGUUUGUUUACUCCAUUAUGGUUCUAUAUUUUGUUCGAAUACAAUGCUUAGCCAACUCUACAUUGUGAAAUUGCUAGUUUUCGUUAAAAAUUUGAUCACUAUGGCUUAUUCGGAUGAUUAGUAUGUUUUAGAGGUAGAUGCACACAGUCUAUUUGUAUAGUUUAUUUAAUUCAUGAACGCAAUGCUGGAAAGUUAAGGCGUUUUUGAUCAGGAACUCUCCGACACUUUUGUUCAUCUGCACUUCCAUUUUUGCAAUUUGGCAGUAUCCACUCUUAUUCUUUAGAUGCAUAGAUCAAUGUGAUACAUCAGAACUUAUCUUAAUGUUCAAUUCUCGUUUAUGAUCAUAUCAGAUACCGAACAGAUCAUGCAACGUGCAAUUGAAGCAGUUGUUGCCAAGUUCAAAGAUCCAAAGGCUGCAUACCUGGUGGAAACUUUAAGCAAAAAUUCAUCUGAAGUACCUCAGCCUGUCAUCAUUCGUGGUGGAGAUUUGGAUUUUGACAUGGAUCUAUCAGAUGUCAAACUUUUGGGUGAAAGCGGCCAUGAUUCUGAUGCUAAGUUCUUGCCAUGUUCUCAUUUUUGUUUGGAGAGUGAAAAAGACUCCCGCGAGUAUUCUGCUGAGGUAAGAGAAGUGUAAGAGAUUCACAGGGGCAUGCACUUUUCAUAUAUUAGAUCGUUGGAAAUUUUAUCUUCUUUUAGCAUGGAAGUUGAUAUUGAACUCCAUUUUGAGAACAUUUUCCUGCUUAGAAUGCAGAUAUGAUCCAAGUAAAUAUUCUGCUUAAUAGUUCAGAGAAGUCUCAAAAAUCCACUGCACCUGUGGCAGAAUAUUUUCCAUGUAUUGAUUGCAGUAUUAAAUGGUGCUGUAUAUAUAUUCUUCUAUAAAUGAAGCUUUCGUUGUGAAAGUUUAUCUCUUCUAUGUUAAAUAAAUGACAAGUUCUAAAUGUAUGGUUUCAGCUCUGGAAGAAGUUAGAAUGUUGGUUGUAGAUUUCAAGCUAGAAGUGCUCUGUUAUGCAGCCAAAGGUCUCCCACUGAUGCAUGCAGUUUCAAAUUUAGUCAUCCCAGGGUUAAUUGAUCAGUUAAAUAUAGAAGGGAAAAUUAUCCUGCCCAACCUAUUAGUGCAACGUCCUCAGGUGAGAGAAACCUAUCUGCUGUAAUAUUGGAUGUUAUCUUGAUAAUAUAACCAUGUGUGUGCUGCAUGAUAUUGUGAAUCUGUGCUAUAUAAAGGAUAUCCUGUGAUUCAGAUUGUAAGACCCUUAGCAUUUGGCACUUUGUAGUUUGAGUUUACUUCAAAAGUUUUCAUGUUCCUUAUCCCUGGUAAAUGCAUCAGAAGAACUUCUGUUAUUGACAUUAACAGAUGUUACCACCCAUCAUACCGGUGCUCAAGCUUAUUCAUUUAUAUAGGGCACUAGCACAUAAGUGCUCACAUUAGAAUGCCUCAACUUAGAAACUCUAUGCAGGUCUCCCUGAGUAUUUGAUGCCCAUUCAAAGACAUGUUAUAUGAAAAAGCUUCUAAGCUGAUUCAAGAUUAUCCAAAAAUCAAACAUAGUGGCCAUCUUUGAUGUCAAAUAGGGUUACUACUAAUCAAGAUUAGUCCAACUACUGUUAUAUUUAUCUAGCUUUCUUAUUUAAAUUCUAUAAGUAACUAAUUUGUUUUCUGUUUGCAGCUACAUCCCUAUCACUUUAAUCCUCCUGGUGUUCUGCAUCCUAUUACCGUUAUUUAUGAAUUCAACUAUGGUGAAACAGAAAUGAAGCAAGGUAGGCAGGCGUAAAUUUGGAGCUUUUAUUAAUGUAUUUUUUAUUUAUAUUUUUUUGAAGGCUAUAAUCUCUUUUUUGAAAAGGAACUUUAAAAAAAAGUCCAAAAUGCUAGAUUUAUUUCAAUUUUCUCCUCUCCUCAUGUCUACGUUGCGUUAGUGUCAGGGAUCUAGACCCCUAUGGGAAUAGUUUGUUAUGAUUUAGCUAUGUAACUAAAGGACAAGGGCGAGUGUAAUUAGGAAACAACAAAUAUCUAGUCCAGUUCCUGUUUCUUUCUUUCAACUAAUAUUUCUGCUAACCUGAUUCCUAGAAUUGAUAGUAUCCUUUUUACAGUCAAGAUUAGCAUUUUCAAUUUUGAAUUUCAGACAGGGAGCUUGUACCACAUUAAUUUGGAAAUUCAUGUUAGGAUCAGUCCAUUUAAGCUUCUCUUUGCUUUCUGCAGUUGAAGUUAGGAAAUCCCUACACGUAAGGCUGGGUUUACCUUGUGAUCGUCCUCUUUUAAGAAUUGCCAAUGCUCUGGAUUUCUCUGGUCUAAGGAAUGACCCAAUACGAAAAGGUACCUAUGUUGGUUCAUCACUUCUGCUCCUGAAAGAAAGUUUUAUUUCCUGGUAGUAAACUUUGUUUCCCAUGUCUAUGCUAAUAUCAGGAACUACUUUGCUCAAGGAUGUACACAUUGGGAUUCCAAGCAGUUGAGGUCCGUGGAUGAUUCUGUUUCCCCGUUUUUCCAUAAAUUUCUUUUUAAUGCUUUUUUCCAGCUUCUUCUUAGUGGAAUUUGAGUUGUAACCAUCUUGGCUUAAUGCAGUUUCAGGGGGCAGUGUGUCUCUGGUGCAAGGUUCUUAUGAGUACUACCAUUAUCUACAAGAUGGAUUUAAUGAUUCGGUAAUAAUCUCGUUUAUCAUUAGUUGAGCUGCUACGUAUUUUGAACUUUGUAAUGUCUAGACUAAAGGCCUAAAGCUGUCAAAUAAGUUAUUCCCGUCCCUCUUUUUAUGAAGUCAAGUCUAGUUUCCCCCAUUGGAUUGUCAUGCUUUUUUGUUUAAUCAAAUCGUGAAGUAUCUCUAGAGGACCAUCUCUUUGCAUGAAGUCAUUUAGUAAAUUGUCAACUUCUCCGUUUUCUCAUGUUCAGUUGUCAGAUAUAUAUGUUGCAGCUGCAGUUCUCUUAAGCGUGAUUUUCUUUUAUUUUCUAGGGCUGGGGCUGUGCUUACCGUUCCCUUCAAACCAAUGUUUUAAAAGGCUAAGGCGUAACCGAGGCAAUGGCACGAGAGCCUCACCAACCCUCACCAAGGCACUUGCCUUGAGGCGUAAGGCGUAAGCCUUUUGAAAAAUAACCUGUAUUUAUGUUAUUAUUCCUCCUAUAUAUAUAAAAUAUAUAUUGCAAUCAACACAACAUUAUAUAUUGUCAUCCAUUCCUAGUAAGUACUCAAACAAUACAAUUCAAGNNNNNNNNNNNNNNNNNNNNNNNNNNNNNNNNNNNNNNNNNNNNNNNNNNNNNNNNNNNNNNNNNNNNNNNNNNNNNNNNNNNNNNNNNNNNNNNNNNNNNNNNNNNNNNNNNNNNNNNNNNNNNNNNNNNNNNNNNNNNNNNNNNNNNNNNNNNNNNNNNNNNNNNNNNNNNNNNNNNNNNNNNNNNNNNNNNNNNNNNNNNNNNNNNNNNNNNNNNNNNNNNNNNNNNNNNNNNNNNNNNNNNNNNNNNNNNNNNNNNNNNNNNNNNNNNNNNNNNNNNNNNNNNNNNNNNNNNNNNNNNNNNNNNNNNNNNNNNNNNNNNNNNNNNNNNNNNNNNNNNNNNNNNNNNNNNNNNNNNNNNNNNNNNNNNNNNNNNNNNNNNNNNNNNNNNNNNNNNNNNNNNNNNNNNNNNNNNNNNNNNNNNNNNNNNNNNNNNNNNNNNNNNNNNNNNNNNNNNNNNNNNNNNNNNNNNNNNNNNNNNNNNNNNNNNNNNNNNNNNNNNNNNNNNNNNNNNNNNNNNNNNNNNNNNNNNNNNNNNNNNNNNNNNNNNNNNNNNNNNNNNNNNNNNNNNNNNNNNNNNNNNNNNNNNNNNNNNNNNNNNNNNNNNNNNNNNNNNNNNNGGAGAGGGAAGGAGGAGGCUGUGUUUGGGGGCCGGGAGAGGGAGGCUCGAAAUGGCCAAACGGCACAAACCUAGCCUUUAUUUUCAAAACCCAAACGACCCCUUUUGAAGGCGCACGCCUUUCGCGCCUUAUGUGCGCCUUUUGCGCUUUUCAAGCCUUGUUCUGCGUUUUUUGCGCCUCUGCGCCUAACCCAUCAAGGCUGACUCAGUUGCAGCACCGCCUCGCGCUUUUUGAGCCUCAAGGCGCGCCCGAGGCGCGUUUUUUAAAACACUGCUUCAAACGAUCAUUUCAUGGUUCAGACUCCAACACUAUACAUCUAUAGAUGUUCCGUUGCAUAGGUAUGAAAUUUGGGUUUUGGAGUGUGAUUUUUAAUUAUUUGGUUCUUUUUGAAUCCUUUCUCCUUGGAUAUCAGAUAGUAGAAAGCCUCAUGGCUACAUGUUUUCAAAGUUUGGUUUCGUUAAUAGUUGACGUUAUUCAAUUUUGAAUCUGUUACUUGCUAUUUCGUGGAUCCAAGAAUUCACAACAUUACAAAAAUCCUCGGUCGAUCUAUCAAAAUCUUUAUUCCUUCUCUCUUCCAUUUUUCAGUGCAAUUAUCAGUCUUAUAUGAUCUAACCUAACAAGCUUGAUUUAGGGAAAUACAGCAGUCGCUGGUAGAGAUUGGCGAUAAGGAUCCUUCUUUCAUUGGUUCACGUGAAUGGAUUGGUGCCAUUGAGUUGAGCUUUGUUCUGGACAAGCUUUUGGGAGUAAGUAUGAUCAAUGAGAUUUUACUGAUAAUUUCUGAAGUUAAAUGCACCCAAGUUUAAAAUGAUCGGUUUCGUUAUUGAACAGGUCAGUUGCAAAGUCAUGAAUUUUAGAUCUGGAGCUGAGGUUCCUGAAAAAUGUCGAGAGCUGGCCUUGCACUUUGAGAAUCAAGGAACACCUAUCAUGAUUGGCAUAGAAUUAAAUUCCUCUUUUCCCAUGGAUUUGACACUUCAAUACAGAUUGUAUCAAAAGCUUAAUAGAGACCACAAAAGUGAAAGAGCUCUAAUUGUUAUGUUUAUGACUGCAGGUGGAGGAGUUCUUGUAUAUACUCUCUUGGGAGUUGAUUACAAUGAUGCAAGCAGAGACUGCUUUUCUUAUACUUGAUCCUCACUAUACAGGCAACGAUGAACACAAGAAAAUAGUGAACGGUGGAUGGUGUGGGUGGAAAAAGGCUAUUGAUAGCAAGGGAAAGAGUUUCUUCUUGCAUGAUAAGUUCUACAAUCUUUUGCUUGUAGAACUUUUUUGAAAUUGAUUGACCUUCGUAUAAAAAAAAAGAAUUUGAAAUUGAUGAACUUUUUUUAUGCUUGCAACUACUAUAAGUUACUGAUUCUCUCUAUUAAUACCAGUUUCCAAGCAUGUUCACCGAGGAGAACUUGUUUCUUACCAAUGUCUUUCCAUGUGAAAAAGUACCCGUUGAUGCAGUCUCAAGCAACGAGCGUGUUAUCAGAAUACUGCACUUCAAGAUGACCGGAACAUGCAGGGGUGAUGAUAAUAUUGAGUAUACUGAUAUAUGCACUCUAGCAGAUCAUCAACUUAUUGUCCCUGAAUUCGUGCUUUUAUGAAGCGUAUUUGGUUGGAGUUCUUACCAGAAUGAAGGUCCUGAUAGUUGAGCAGCCGCUUAUCAUUGAUAAAGUAUUUACCGAGGUGGAACGAGCUGACAACCUCCAGUGUGCUAUUGCUUGCUUGAUAAAGGAUAUCACCUUAUUUUGUCAAACUGUCACGAUGGCUUAUCUGUCAGAGUGUUUCGAAGAAGUGAGAAUUGAUAGUUUAGAAGAUACUGAAAGACAAAGACAAUGUGUUAUUUGUAGAGAGAGCCUUGAUCACGUUGAGGAUAUAGAAGAAGGGAUUGACCGUAGUCAGUUGGUUCGCUUGUUGUGUUCCCAUCUUUAUCACGGUGAUUGCCUUUCCAAAUGGUUGCCCAUGAGUGCGUUGUGUCCUUUGUGCCGAUACGCAUUGCCGGUUGUGGAACAGACAAUGCCGGUUGUAGAACAGACGAUGCCGGUUGUGGAACAGACAGCUGAACUACCGGAACCAUCAUGGCGGCAGUUGCAUUGGCCUAUGCUGCUCACAGCAUCUGUGGGUGGUAUAUUAACUGCUAUGCUGGUAUGUAGAUUAUUGAAGCAAAGCCAAGUGUGAAAAAAACCAGCAGAUUGGCCAUUUCAUAUCGAAAAUAGUUGCACAUGGAAGAACUUCUUGUUUUUAUUUUAGCUCCGUUAUUUUCGGUUGUGGAACAGACGAUGCCGGUUGUGGAAAAGACGAUGCCGGUUGUGGAACAGACAUCUGAGCCAUCAUGGCCGCAGUUGCAUUGGCCUAUGCUGCUCACAGCAUCUGCAGGUGGUAUACUAACCGCCAUACUGGUGUGUAGAUUAUUGAAGAAAACCCAAGUGUAGAAUUAUUAACCCGAGUGUAAAAUUAUUAGCAGAUUGACAAUUUCAUCAAAAUUUGAUAAGCAUGGAAUAACUUGUUUGUUUGUUGCUCCCUUCUAUUUGGCUUGUAAUGUGGAUUAUUUGAAGUGGAUAUAGAUAACAAUAAUAAAAUUUUAUUAUAUAUAUAUAUAUAUAGGGAUUUUAUAGUGUUAUCUGUAACUGCAUCAUAGCAAACGCUAAUCAUAUAGAAAGAAGAGAGGAACAAAAGUGAAUAGGAUAAUUUGUACAUAGCAAAUGCCCACACACCAUCGCAAACAUAGUUUAACAAGUUCUUGUAGCUGGAAAAAAAAAUUAGUGCGAGUUUAGUUACCGAGUGUUCAAGGGAAUCUAACCCCAUUGUGAGUUUAGUUUUAUUGUUUGGUAAUCAUUAAUUAACCCCAAUGUGUUUGUUCACAAUAUAUUUACUGGCCCGGUGUUGUAAAUGGAAGAGUGAACUGGAAUGUAGUUAGUAAUAUGGAGACAAAAGCAAAUAUUGUUGAGAAGAUGUUCCGAUGGAUUUUGGAGUGGAAAUCUCAUAUCACUUCUGCAACUCCGGUAGGUAUGGAUUGUGAAUUUCUGGAUGUUAUAUGGUGUUAGAUGAGAAGUGUUUGAGAGAUGCAGUUUCUAGUCUGCGCUUUUGCAUGUCGAAGAAUUUUUCCUCACCAAUUAAGCCAAACGAGGAAACAAAAGGUUUUAAUCUAUUUCCAUCAUCAAACAAACUGACACUAGGUAGCUAACAAAUUAAAAGAAAUGCGUGAGCAUAUAACGUGAUUGUCACAACUAUAUGAUUGUUCCCUACAUUGUAUUGGAAAACAAUGGUGGUUGUACAUAGGACGAUGGACUUCACAAGAUCUUGUUGAUUCAAAAUCUACAUUCCAAGCUUCUGUUAUUUCAUCAGUUGGAACAUAACCAACCUCUGCAAGUCCUUGAACACGACCCAAACCUUUAACUGACAAUUGAAUUCCCUCCAGCUCCACUGCUACUUCUUUCAUAGUAGGGCGUCUCCUUCCAUUCAAAUUUAGGCAACGUUUUGCAAGGUUGGCAACUGUCACAAUUUCUUCUUUGCUACCAUCGUUCACAACCUGAUCAUCAAGAAUAUCAGAAAGACGAGUUCCAUGGACUCGAGGAAAUAAGUUGCAAGACUCGUGGGUUCUUGUGGCGUCCUCUGAAAAAUUGGUUUUCGUCCGGUCAAGAGCUCAGCAAGAACCACCCCGAAACUAUAAACGUCACUUUUGUCUGUAAACUGGCUAGAUUGAAAGUACCCCGGAUCCAAAUAACCAAAUGUGCCUUGUACAUUUGUCAUGGUUCGAUGUGUUUUGCCUAUGGCUACUGAUCUUGAUGUUCCGAAAUCGGCAACUUUAGCUCUAAACUUACCGUCCAGGAGUAUGUUUGAAGACUUAAUGUCACGAUGGUAGAUGGGAGAGGAAGCUGAUGAGUGCAAGUAUGNNNNNNNNNNNNNNNNNNNNNNNNNNNNNNNNNNNNNNNNNNNNNNNNNNNNNNNNNNNNNNNNNNNNNNNNNNNNNNNNNNNNNNNNNNNNNNNNNNNNNNNNNNNNNNNNNNNNNNNNNNNNNNNNNNNNNNNNNNNNNNNNNNNNNNNNNNNNNNNNNNNNNNNNNNNNNNNNNNNNNNNNNNNNNNNNNNNNNNNNNNNNNNNNNNNNNNNNNNNNNNNNNNNNNNNNNNNNNNNNNNNNNNNNNNNNNNNNNNNNNNNNNNNNNNNNNNNNNNNNNNNNNNNNNNNNNNNNNNNNNNNNNNNNNNNNNNNNNNNNNNNNNNNNNNNNNNNNNNNNNNNNNNNNNNNNNNNNNNNNNNNNNNNNNNNNNNNNNNNNNNNNNNNNNNNNNNNNNNNNNNNNNNNNNNNNNNNNNNNNNNNNNNNNNNNNNNNNNNNNNNNNNNNNNNNNNNNNNNNNNNNNNNNNNNNNNNNNNNNNNNNNNNNNNNNNNNNNNNNNNNNNNNNNNNNNNNNNNNNNNNNNNNNNNNNNNNNNNNNNNNNNNNNNNNNNNNNNNNNNNNNNNNNNNNNNNNNNNNNNNNNNNNNNNNNNNNNNNNNNNNNNNNNNNNNNNNNNNNNUUACGCUUGAGCUUACUGUCACUCCAUUUUUCCGCUUUCUGUAACCCAAAAAUCCAACGAGAAGUAGCAAAACCGUUCCAAGACAAGCGGCAAGACCUACAUACCCAUCAAUCCCCUCAAGUUAAAAUUAAUUGGUAAAAUGUAAUAAGAAUAUAAGAUCAUACUCUAGUGUACGUGUUCUAGAUAUAUGGAUCGUCUUACCUACUAGAACAUAUAUCUUAGCUUUGCUCUCUUUUUUACAGCGGUAGCUCCCUUCAAGGUUGACACAUUUUUCGCCAGCCGAGCAAUGGUUUUUAGCACGGUCUGUGCAUUCAUCAGUAUCUGAAACAUGCAUUCAUUCAAUUAAAAACAAUACACCAGAUGAUAUAUAGUGAAAAGUGACUAACGUUUUUCAUAUACAUAAGUUCAAUAUGGUGAAGGUUUAAAUCACCUGAACAAAAUUGGCUCCCAAGAUAAGGAUUUCCUUCAUAGCCUGCCGAGCAGCUACAAAUAAAGGUGGUCUGCAGUUUGUUUGCCAGAACCUUCUGGCAACUAGAUGAAUCAGUAGAGGGAUAAUUAGAUUCAUUAAACUGUGUGAAUGAAUCGUUUAUGGCCCAUUCUAGCACCAAAGGAACCUCCUCCAAAUCCUUCUCGCUGACUCUUCCUGCAGCCGAUGAAUUAGAUAAGUUCUGAAACCAAAUUUGGUCAACCAAAAAUGCAUGUUUAUUCCGCUGUGAACUGGAAAUCGUGGAGCAAUUUGCACCCUCUCCAGCAGUGGUUAGCAAGUGAAAAAACAAACUCUUCCUGUUUGGGGGGAGGUUAGUCUGGCAACAGUUGGUACUAGUCUUACACUCCAAGUGACUCGUACUAUUAGUAUGAGUCGUCUCGUCACCACAAACUGAGCUGCACCCACCAAGGAUGACAUUGUCUUCAGACUCACACACCACGGCCAGGAGGUCGCAACUGGCCGAAACAAAUGUAUUGUGGCUCUGAGAAUAAGUGAAAGGUGUCCCGGUUAAUUUUGAUGGUUGCUGAUUAGUAUAACCAUCACCCUGGCAGUAUUUAGCAACAGAGUUGUUAACCCGAAUCGUGCGGUCUUCAAUGGAAAUAUCCAGCACCUGCACCUCUUGUUCCUCGAGCCUCAACACUGCAGUCUCAUUCGGGUAGCAGUUUAUUACAAACCCUAGGUCUAGGGAAUAACCAGCUCCUUUGGAUGUGGAUGAUUCAACUCCGAAAGGGUAUGGAAUCCUAACAUUGCAGCGGUCUGGGCAAUUAGGGGAUGCUAUUUGUGGUGGGUUUGCUCCUGAUACCAGCACAGUAAUACUCAAAUACAAUAACAGCAUGAUGCUCAUAUGAAUUAGCAAUUGCAUUGCAAUAUUUUCACCUGCUGGUGACCUGGUGUUAAAACUAAGAUCUAAUUGUGUGAAUUUUUUGCUUUGUUUCUUUCAAUCUAUGAAAUGAAGUAUGGAACUAUGGAUCGAGUUUGCAUCAAUAAAUAUAAUUAAACUGACUCACAUAUGGUCAUAUGGACAUAUCGAGUAAUAAGUGAUUUAAAUAAUUAGCACGCCAUACUUGAUUGAUAUAAACAAGUAGAAGUUGCAUAUAUAUAUAUAUAUAUAUAUAUAUAUAUAUAUAUAUANNNNNNNNNNNNNNNNNNNNCAUAUAUAUAUAUAUAUAUACACACACUACUCCCUAGCUCCUUUCUGUACUCCAAACUCCAAUGCGAUGGCCUCCAUCCAUCUAGCUUUGGCAUCGGCAUCGGCAUCUUUUGUAUUUGUUUUACUGGCCGGGUUUGUCUCCUAAGAUUUUCAUUGACAAAAUAAAAAAGGCAAACAUAACUGGUAGUCUGGUAUCCAUGGCUUUACAGAACUGAUAGCAACCUCGAGGAUAUAUUUACGUUGCUUCGUCGAUGACUCUUCGUACGACUCCACCCGAUGGUUCACUGUGGUUCCAUGAAUUAAUGGACGUGUAAUGUGUCGUCUUUCACAAGUCCACAACUCCACUUGAUCGGGCAAGUUGAGUACUGAGGAGUGAGGAAUGAGAUCGGUUGAAUCUCAAAAUUUCAAAUCAUUUCAGUUCCAUUUCAACGAUACAUAUGGAUUCACAUAAGUCACGCAUGCACAUGAGCCCAACAUCAAUAGAUGAUGGGAUAACAUCUAUUUUUGGUUACUCAAAGAAGCUUACUACGAAUUUCAAGGGUCGAGAUCGCUUAAUAAGUGUUCGGUCACUUGUACUGCCGCUGCAUAGAAGAAUUUACAAUAUGUUGUUUCAUUUAUAUUUGAAUUUCCUAAAAAGGGGAUUUGUGCAACAAACCUAAUUUGUGCAUUGGAUUGAGAUUCACAUUGGUCUCUUUUUAUUUUUAUUUUUUUCAAAAUUCACGAGUUCACUUUACCAAAAAGAUGAUGAGAAAUAAACAGUUUUUCUCACUUUACCUAAUUUCUUUUAAGGUUUUCCAAGAGAGAUCUAAACUUGAGAACUAGUUUCAUAGUAAGCUUUUACCAACUCGAUCACUUAAGAGCAAAAAUGUGGUUCUAAUGAGAAAAACUAUUAAGAAUGUGGUUCUUGCGUUAAUCGGAGAGCUUGCCAACCGAAUAAUCAAGAAUGUUGGUCUUUCUAAGGUCUUUCUAAAGUCUAUCCCAGGAAAGAGGGAAUUGAGAAAUAGCAAACAAAAUUUAACGUAAUAAUUAUCUGACAUGCAACGUUAUUCCCCCCGGUGAUCGAAUGAGACAGAUCAAGGCUCUUGAAUUCCGUUCGCCAACGCUCCUCUCGUACGUUAAUUAUUCUUGCGCUGAUGAAUAGUUGAAAACGAUGGAGAAGCUAUACAUGAGAAAGUAGUUGUCGAAACUCAACUUUCAAGUUAUGAGAGCAUGAGAGGAACCCUAGCUAUAGCUUAGCCACGUACUUUUCACAAAAGAUCGAAGUGGCGGCGCGCAUCAAUCUGCUGUACUGAUAUGCAUGCUAUGCAUUAUCAGUCUUUGUAGGCAAAAUUUCCAAAACCAACCAGCCCCUGCUGCACAUGCUUCCCCCUCCUUUAGUUGUAAGUAUAUAUAGCAUACUGAUACGUAUAACAGACAAUCAGCAUCAAUGAUCCAUUUGCAGCUAGAAGAAAACGACGAGUCAAAUGACAUUAAUUUGAUUGCUUUGGAAAGCAAAGCAUGCACUGGGCGGGUAAAAGUGAUCGAUCUGGAUCCAGAACCAGCUCUCAUAUAUUGUCUGCAACGUACAUGUAUCCCACAUAUGUAGUUUUCAUAUCUCUAUGACUUUAUGAUCUAGGCGAGAAGUAGUGCAAAAGUUGCACGUUAUCUAUCUUCUUCUGGUAUUAUUGAAGCUUUGAUUUUUUAGAUGAAAUGGCCAUUGACGAUCCAUGGGAACAUGGUCAUCCACGGUUACAACCUAUCUUCUCCAUCCUCUAAAGCCAUUUUAGGUAAAACAAAAAGCAAACCCCAAGGCCCUUUAGAUCUCCAAAAAGCAAUCCUAAGAAUAACAUCGGUAAAACUAUGGUGAUGAAAGAGUAAGACUGAUACAUUCACUUAACCUAAUGUUUGUAAACUUGCUAUAAACUCUGCCAUCAAAUUUGGAAGUCAUCCCUACAUGGUACAACUGUGUGUGAUUUUGAAGAUAUUUUGUAGUUCAAACUUCAAACCAUGUUAGGCCUCUGUGGAAGCAAAAGAUUGGAGAACUCAUCAUGCAAGAAGGAACUCUUUCCCAUGCUACCAACAUCCCUUUUCCACCCACACCAUCCGCCGUUCACUAUUUUUUUGUGUUCGAUCAUCAUCAAUAACGAAACCGAUCAUUUUAAACUUGGGUGCAUUUGACUUCACUCACUUCAGAAAUUAUCAGCGAAUCAAUUGAUCAUACUUACUCCCAAAAGCUUGUCACCAAUCCAUUCACGUGAACGAAUGAAAGAAGGAUUCUUAUAGCUAAUCUCUACCAGCGACUGCUGUAUUUCUCUAAAAUCAAGCUAGCUAGCUAGCUUGUUAGCGGGUUAGAUCAUAUAAGACUGAUAACUGCACCAAAAAAUGGAAGAGAGAAAUGAAUAAAGAUUUUGACAGAUCGGCCAAGGAUUUUUGUAAUGUUGUGAAUUCUUGGAUCCACGAAGUAGCAAGUAACAGAUUCAAAAUUGGAAUAACCUCAACUAUUAACGAAACCAAACUUUGAAAACAUGUAGCCAUGAGGCUUUCUACUAUCUGAUAUCCAAGGAGAAAGGAUUCAGAAAAGAACCAAAUAAUUAAAAAUCAUACACUUGAAGACCCACAUUUCAUACCUAUAUGCAACGGAUCGGAACAUCUAUAGAUGUAUAGUGUUGGAGUCUGAACCAUGAAAUGAUCGUUUAAACGGAACGGAAAGCACAGCCCCAGCCCUAGACCAUGAAAGAAAAUCACACUAAAGAGAACUGCAGCUGCAAACAAUAACCAUCUAUAAAAACACAUGCACAUACAUAUCUGACAACUGUCCAUGAGAAAACAGAGAAGUUGACAAUUUAUAAAAUGACUUCAUGCAAAGAGAUGAUCCUCUAGAGAUACUUCACUUGAUAGGAAAAAAAAUAAAAAACCACACGACAAUCCAAUGAGGGAAACUAAAUUUGAUUUCAUAAAAAGAGGGAUGGGAAAUAUUGUUGGUUUGUAGCUUACAUUAAUAAACCCGUCAAUCUUUUAUAGGGAUUUGAGUUUUGUCUAUUCCACUAUACUAUAUGCUUUAUGUCCCUAAUUAAGGAGUGAAAGACAAAAGAACCGCAUCUUAGAGUUAUUGAGAAGUAAACGUAAUUUAGGCAAAGCAUGCUUACCAAUUUCUACGGCAUUCAUCUCCCUCCAUGCCUUGGGGUAAGUCCUUAUGGUCUAAAUUUAUUUUGUUUAGAAUGUCUCUACAUAUAUGCUUUGGAAGGUUUUGAAAAGGAGAAUAAUUUGUGAUGAACUUCUACAACAUCCAGGCUAGGAGUGGCUUGGGUUUCAAGAUGUGAGCUUUGGGUUUCCCUGCAACAUAUUUUCUAGCUUGUAGUGUCCCUUUACAGUUGCUAUAUGGUGUUAUUUCUGAUCUCUUUUUGAUCUAGGGGUUACUCCUCAUACAAUUGUGGAUAUAUUUCACAAAGGUCUGAGUAUGAGACGUAGCUCACAGCUUAAGGAGCUUUGGUUGAUCUGUUUUACAUCGAGCGAUCUUAUGGUUUGUAUGACAUGCGAGGAAUAAGACCAGAUUUGAUGGUAAGUCGUUCUCUGUGGCUUCAAUUUGUCAUCUCAUUUUGGGGCACAUUAGAGCAGCUAGUCGGCUUGCAAAUGGUCUAAUGCAUAAUUCAGUUCAGGAUCUACGGAUAAUAAAGAGUUUUGGUGUAGAGUGUCGAUUGCGAAGAGAUCUAAGAGUUAUUGAGAUUGUUUAACAUCCUCCAGUUAGUCAUUGGGUGGGUAAAGAUUAAUUCAGAUGGUGCUUGGAAGCAUGCAAAGGGUGUUGGAGGUUUUGGUGUUGUUUUUCGUGACUUUAAAGGUCAUGUUCUUGGUGCUUUUUCUUCCAACAUUGACAUUCCUAGUUCAGUAGUAGCAGAGGUGAUGGUUGUUAUAAUUGCUAUUGAGUUUGCUUGGGUACGAGACUAGAAGCACAUUUGGUUAGAGGUUGACUCGUCGCUUGUGUUAGAAUAUCUACGGUCUCCUUUACUUGUACCUUGGCAACUAAUGUAUGUUGGCUUAAUUGUUUAAGUUGCAUAUUAUUGGAGAUGACCUUUUGAUCUUCUCAUAUUUUCGUGAAGGAAAUACGGUUGUAGAUGCUCUGACUAAUCAUGGUACGUCAUUAACACAAUUGGUUUGAUGGGAUUUAUCUCAUUCUUUUAUUUUGUCAUAUUGUAGUAGUGAUGACCUUAUGGGUCUUCCUCCCCAAUUUCGGUUUUCUUAAUUUGGUUUCGUUGUUAUUUUGUUGUGAGAGGUUUUGAUCUAAUCCCCAUCUCUUGAUGUUUCUCUCUUUUAUUUUUUAAUGCAUAAGAGUGUUAGGUGGUCAUUCCUCUCUCUCACUCAUCUUUCAGCCAAAAAAAAACCCUGCAAUUCAGGCCAGGCUUUAUAGAAGUUGUUCUUCUAUUUGGUGUUUCACCUUUGUGAGUGUAUUUUGAGGUGUGAUAGGGAAUUUAGGUUUGAGUGUUAAACGCCUUGUAAUCUACUUUUGAUAUUAGUGGAAUCUCCUCGUCGUUACUGCCCGUGUGGACGUAACCCUCUUGAUUUAGGGUGAACCACAUAAAUCUUUGACAUUUUUGGAUUUUCUGUUUAUUUAUCAUUUCUCAUAUUUUGGUAAUUCAUACAUAUUCGACGCUUCCACACAAUAUGAAUAACUUAAUUGACAACUUUAAUCUAGUCAUUACAGAGUUCAAAAUAUUGACAGCUUUAAUCUAGUCACUACAAAGUUCAAAAUAAAUAGCAGUUUAAUCUAGUCAUUCCUGCAUAUAUCGAGUUUUUUUUUUUUGAACAUGGGUCCUAUUUUGUCCCUAGUCAUCCUCAUUGCUAACCCUAGCUCGAUCACUAUUGUGUUUCUUACACCAAAACUUCGAAGUUCAGACUCUAACAAGAAAUAAGAGUUUCGAAAUUCUUAAAGCUAAUCAUAUCAAACCACAUCGACCGGUAGCGACUUAAUUCCAUGAGAUGACGAAUCCUAGCUUGUUCCUCGCCGUGAAAGGGGGGUCCUCUCAAAGAUCCUGAACAAUGCUUGAUGAGCUGCAUCCAAGACGCAGGGUCCUAAAACUAAUAUAGCAUUCCCUGGUAUCAAGCAGGUUACCACGGCUGUCAUCCAUGCAACUUUACGGGUUGAAUCAUUGUCGAUAUCACUGGCGAGAUCGUUCAAGAUUGAAAGAACUUCUUGGCUCAGAGUUGGCCGCAACAGUAUGCUACAAAGAUCUACCUGAGCAUAGAGCCAUAUAUCGAGUUCAGCACAAUAUAUUCUAGCUCUUUUCUCUUUCUUUCCUUGUCUAUCCCUCAUUACUUUCAAUUGUAAUCUUUUGGGAUGAUUACUAAUUACACUUUUGAAAUUUGUAUCUAGAGAUCAUCAUGAAGAUGUCGGAUCCCAACUUACUUGGGUUAGAUUCAUUGGAUGUAUACACAACAAAAUACUAUUAUUCUGGUCAUCAUGCCAUUGCUAACAAUACGAGUCAUUGAUUAGACAACAAGCAAUUGAAAUCUGGGCAUUCAAAUAGAUGGCUAGAUGUUAAGCCAAGAGGCCCUUCUCCACUUCCUCAUAUCCAUGUUACGUUAGAGAGAAGAAUAGGGAUCUGAUCAGUCAUUAGAGGCCGACUAGUUCUUCGUUCUUGUGAAGAAUGAGAUUGGGCCUUACGUCUUGAACGCUUGCAUUCUCCAUUCUUCUCACUCUGAGAGACAUUUCCCGCUAUUCACGAUUUCAUUGUUGUAUUCGAUCGCAUUUGCUUACAUAACCAAAACGGUGUGUUUUAGCUCAUUGACCAGUAAGAUUCACUGUUGACUCAUAACAUCCAACCUCCAUCAAAAGAAACUUAGAUCUCAUCAUCUUGGAUUAGAUGAGUCUACGCGCACGAGCUGGUAAUUUAUAUUCCACUCUUAUGUCUCGUUUGGUUUGUGAAAACUAAACAUGCGUACAAGAUUUUUUUCCGAACUUAAAGAAAAAGUUUUUUAGACCAAAGAAAAAUCAUGGAAAAGUUGUUCAUUUCGAACUUUUGUCUUUUUUACUACUAUUUCCUCAUUCUUUCCUUUCAUUUAUUACUCACAACAAUUUUACUGCAACAACUAACAAUUUUCCAAAUAAUUUUUUUUAUGUUACCAAACAGAAGAAUGAAAAAAAAUGUUUUUCAUUCAUUUUGUUAAAAUGAUGAAUGGAAUUACGUUAUGUUUUGUUUUUUGAUCGGUUACUUAACGGAGGUUUUUAGCACCAAGGGAUAUAAAAUUUUGAAGGUUAUGCCUUGGUUGAUUUUAUUGGUCCUUGACACCGAAAAUGCUGAUAUGAUCAUCUUUCUUUUUUCUCUUUUACUCUUGUUUGUUUUCUUCUUACUUGAUAUGGAAUAUUAUAAAGUUGCUUACGUUGAUUACACAUUAUAUGUAUACAUGCAUUGAUCAACAAUGGGGUUUCGUCUCAGAUCAAUUGGUAACAAGAAAAUUUAAGCAUAUACUUUUAUAAAACUGCAAGCCGAUCAAUAUGAAACCGUAACGUAGUUUUGUUAUCAUCUUAACUGUUGCUUGACAAAUUUUUUAACAAAAACACAUGUUUCGACGAACCAAACAAGACAUAAGAGUAAAGUGGAAUAUAAAUUACCAACUUUGAUAUUCAAGAUGAGGUCAAGUUCAAGUUUAUUUGAUGGAGGUUGGAUUAUGAGUCAACUGUUAAUCCUAGUGGUCAAUGAGCCAAAACACACCGUUUUGAUUACAUAAGCAAAAGGUGUCGAUUCUCACGUGACUAUCACAUGCGAAUAGAGGAAGUGAAAUGGCGAAGACGGGGCAAAGCCAGUGUAACAAGAAUGGAGAAGCCAAGCCUCCUUCGAGUUCUCAGCCCCAAGCUCAUUCUCCACAAGAACGACAAACCAGCCGGCCUCCGAUGGCUGAUCGGAUCCCCGUUCUUCCCGCCACUAACCGUCGUCUCCGCACUCAAAUGCAUCCACACCGAUUCCUCCUCAUCUCCAGGCUACACCAGAGAAUCAGGUACCGUUUUGUCUUCGGUGAAUUCAAAACCGAAAUCCAAUUAAUUCUUGAUUACCUUCGUUAAUCUGAGCAGAAGAGCUUCGGACGUUACUGCCGAAAGGAUUCCACGUCGUCGGAGUUUUAGUUGUGGCCGAUUCCGACGAAGAGAAGCGCGGCGGCGAGGCCGUUGCGGCGGCGAGAAGGUUACGGAAGCUAAUGUGCGGCGGAAGUGAGAGAAUGGAUGAGCAGGGAGUAAUUGGAGCCGUUGCGGAGUCUAGAGGUGGAGGCAUUCGAUUUUACGUGUCGAAAUCGGAGAGUUGUGAGAGGUUUCAGUGUGUUGAUGUGGUGUAUGUGACAGUGUAUGAUGAUGAUCCGGAGAGGUUUGUUUGGGAGAGGGGUUGUUUGAUUCGGUGUGAGCUUCCUUUGAAGCUGCCGAUUUACUAUCCAGUAAAUAAGCCUUCUGGUAAGUUUGUUUACUCCAUUAUGGUUCUAUAUUUUGUUCGAAUACACUGCUUAGCCAACUCUACAUUGUGAAAUUGCUAGUUUUCGUUAAAAAUUUGAUCACUAUGGCUUAUUCGGAUGGUUAGUAUGUUUUAGAGGUAGAUGCACACAGUCUAUUUGCAUAGUUUAUUCAAUUGAUGAACAGAAUGCUGCAAAUUUUAAGGCGUUUUCGAUCAGGAACUCUUAAAUACUUUUGUUCAUUUGUACUUUCAUCUUUGCAUUUUGGAACUGUCCACUCUUAUUCUUUAAAUGCAUAGAUCAAUGUGAUACAUCAGAACUUAUCUUAAUGUUCAAUUCUCAUUUAUGAUCAUAUCAGAUACCGAACGGAUCAUGCAGCGUGCAAUUGAAGCAGUUAUUGCCAAGUUCAAAGAUCCGAAGGCUGCAUACCUGGUGGAAACUUCAAGCAAAACUUCAUCUAAAGUACCUUAGCCUGUCAUCAUUCGUGGUGGAGAUUUGGAUUUGGGACAGGACGGGCCCAAUCCCGCCAACCCGGACCCAAUCAUUCAUAUUGAAGAUGAUAUGAUUUGUGGACGUUUAGUUUAAACUAAAUAUAUUUGUAACCUCAUAAAGCAAAGUCGAAUAGGGAUAAUUCCAUAGAACAAUAAGAAAAACGUCUAGUCCUACCAUUUGCGAACAUUAAUUCCAUUGAAUACAAUAGUAUGGAUUAAUAGUCUAUUUGCUUAUGUUGUGCACCUCAAAAUCUAUGCAGUGGCUUAUGCAUGUUCAUGGGGCUUUGGAUGCAACAAACAUUGCUAAACAGUAAAGUUGACAAUAUGUAUAACAUGAAAUAAAUAUAUAUGACAGAAAUAUGAUCAGUAAAACAAUGAUGAAAGAUACAAACACGCAUAUAUAUAUAUAUAUAUAUAUAGGAUUUUUCUCAGCUACGGACGUCCGCACCAAUGGUUUUGGUGCGGAUUUUUAUUUUUACACCAUUUUUUUGAUUAAAUUUUCUUAUCUUCACCGUCUAGUAUCUAUAUAAUAUUAUGUAGAUCAUCUUUGCAAAAUUUCAGCCAAUUUGGUAAUCCUAGGGCAAACAAUUCAAUUGCAAUUGUGGGCCGGAGGCAGGCCAGACAAGCGAAUAAAAGUAUCUAUAUAUACAGUCUCCCACUCUAACUCUCCCACAUCAAGCCGUCCGCCUCUGUCUGAUCCCAAACAGAAACAAAAGAUAAGGAUCUCCCCUUAGAUCCCUCAUCCCAGACGCAGACGUCGCCGGCUGCAAGCCCCUCUAUCUCCGAUCUUCAGUUUGAGGUAAGUAUUAGUUAUGUCUUCUUAGCCUGAAUUUGCUUUCUGUUGUUUUUAUUUUUUUGGUUUUUGUUGUUAUCGAUUGGAAAAUUGGAACUAGUCUUGAGAAAAACUAUGCUGUAGCUAAGAUCAAUAGAUCAUGGGUAUAAUUCGUCAGACCAAACAGCCUAAUAAGGACUACAAAUCAUGCAUGCAUCUAGGAUAUAAAGUAUGUCAAAGAACUGCUAAAUCUUAAUGCUUUCUGUGACGUUCUUCUCCUUGUUUUGGUUGAUCCUCUGUUUCUCUGUUUCUACCUUCUGUAUGAUUUUGUUCCAGGUUUGUAUUCCUGUUUGGUUUGUAUUAAAGCAACAUUCUUUUGUUUUCCACAAAAAAGAAAGUGUUUAGCUUUUGGUCAAUCCUCUGUUUCUACCUUCUGCAUGCUUUUGUUCCAGUUUUGAAUUCCUGGUUUGUAUUAAAGCAACAUUCUUUUGUUUUCUACAAAAAAGAAACCGCUAAUCUUUUUAAAAUUUUAUGGCGACAAACUUAAAAUUCCAAUACCUCCUAUCACCCUUAAUUCUCUGUGUCUCUGCAGAACUGAUCAUAUUCUCAUGUCAGAUGAGGCAAGUUUGAAUGGGUAUUAAUUAAAUAGAAAAAGAAAAUCAUAUGUUAACAAUUGAAGCUGUAGCUGAAUUGGUUAAGCCUCAUUAUCCACCCAGGUUUGAGGCAUGUGUUGAUUAUGAUUUUGGUGCAGGAUUAGUAUGCUUUUUAUCUGAAACAUAUGUAUGGUUUAUAACGUGCUCAAAUGUAGAUAACUAAGCUUUGGUGAUUUUGUUUAGUAACUAUCUAUGGAAUCAUCAAUUAUAAUAGAAGAUCAAGAACAUUAACAUUAGAUAAGAGCAUCUCCAACAAUAAAGCUAUUUUUUAGUUACAUUUGUUAAAAUUAAAUCUAUUUUUUGCUCCAGCAGUAUAGCUAAUCUGAAAAACAUAAAACAUGGAAAGUGUUUAGCUUUUAUUUCCUCCCUUCAUUAUUGACAAAUUUGUCAAUCCUAUUUAUCAAUUCUCUCUUCAACCCUAUUUGUCAAUUAUCAAAUCUUUAGGUAUUCUAAUGGAGCUCCGAUUUACCCCAAAAAUUGACAAAUUUCAACUUUUUUUUAAUAACAUUACUGUUAAAGCAUCUCUAACAAUACAUGAGCAUCUCCAGCGGAGUUGCUUUUUAAAAAAAAAGUUACAAUUUAUCAACUUUUAAGCUAAAAUUAUGCUCCAACAGAAUACCUAAAUAAUUGAUAAAUUUAAGAAUUGAUAGAUAGAAUUGACAUUUUUAUCAAUUUUGGAGAGAGAAAUCGCUAAAACUUGGCUAAUGUUUUGCUGGAGCAAAGGUUCAAAUCUUGCUAUUUUAAACCUAACUAUUGACAAAUUUAGCUAUAAAUUUAAGUUCAUUGUCGGCCCUGAGGGGUGUGUUAUAUUCGUACUGCUUGCUGAAUAUGAAAUUGAUUGACCUUCGUAAUAAAAAAAAAAAGAAUUUGAAAUUGAUGAACUUUUUUGAUGCUUGCAACUACUAUAAGUUACUGAUUCUCUCUAUUAAUACCAGUUUCCAAGCAUGUUCAGCGAGGAGAACUUCUUUCUUACCAAUGUCUUUCCAUGUGAAAAAGUACCCAUUGAUGCAGUCUCAAGCAACGAGCGUGUUAUCAGAAUACUGCACUUCAAGAUGACCGGAACAUGCAUGGGUGAUGGUAAUAUUGAGUAUACUGAUAUAUGCACUCUAGCAGAUCAUCAACUUCUUGUCGAGGUCCCUGAAUUCGUGCUUUUAUCUAAUAGGAGGAUAUAUGAAGCGUAUUUGGUUGGAGUUCUUGCCAGAAUGAAGGUCCCGAUAGUUGAGCAGCCGCUUAUCAUUGAUAAAGUAUUUACCGAGGUUGAACGAGCUGACAACCCCCAAUGUGCUAUUGCUUGCUUGAUAAAGGAUAUCACCUUAUUUUGUCACACUGUCAAGAUGGCUUAUCGGUCAGAGUGUUUCGAAGAAGUGAGAAUUGAUAGCUUGGAAGAUACUGAAAGACAAAAACAAUGUGUUAUUUGUAGAGAGAGCCUUGAUCACGUUGAGGACAUAGAGGAGGGGAUUGGUCGUAGUCCGUUGGUUCGCUUGCCGUGUUCCCAUCUUUAUCACGGUGAUUGUCUUUCCAAAUGGUUGCCCAUGAGUGCGUUGUGUCCUUUGUGCCGAUACACAUUGCCGGUUGUGGAACAGACGGUGCCGGUUGUGGAACAGACGGUGCCGGUUGUGGAACAGACGGUGCCGGUUGUGGAACAGACGGUGCCGGUUGUGGAGCAGACGGUGCCGGUUGUGGAGCAGACAGCUGAUGAGCCAUCGUGGCCGCAGUUGCAUUGGCCUAUGCUGCUCACAGCAUCUGCAGGUGGUAUAUUAACUGCUAUACUGAUAUGUAGAUUAUUGAAGUAGACCCAAGUGUUAAAUUAUCCGCAGAUUGUCAAUUUCAUCAAAAAUAGAUGAGCAUGGAAUAAAUUAUUGUUUUUAUAUUAGCUCCCUUCUAUUUGGCUUGUAAUGGAUAAUGAGUAACAAUAAUAUACUCUUGUUAUAUUUAGUGCAAGGCAAUUUGAUCCAAAAAGACAAUUGGUGGGUGGAUAUAUUAAAAAGAAAUAUAUGAGAAAGCAUUCGUUUUUUGUUUAAAAGGUCUGGACCAAUCACUCUCAAGCUUGGAAAUGUAUCUUUGGGACUUUGGAAAGGUAUAUUGGAAAUUUUUGCUUUUCCUUUGAUUAAUCUUAUUUCUGCUAAUAUUAGAAACUCUGUAAACUUGGAUGAAAAUGUGUGUGACUACUUGCAUAAUGGUUAUUGGAAUCUUGAUAAGCUUAGGGGCCUGGUGUAUUGUUUUCAGAUUUCUGCAGAUUUUUUUUAAAUGAUGGAUUUAAAAAUAAUUCUUGGAUUUAUGCAGAUUUAUAAAAUCUUCUGAAUUCACAUAAAUUUUAAUUUUUUUAAGGAUUCUUGAAACAUGAUAAACUUGUACGGACUUUCGUUGAAUUUAAUAAACAUUGUAUGAUUCAGCACUACAUCAACAUUAACAUGUAACAUAAGUAGUUAAAUGAAAGUCUAACAUGAAAAUUUCUCAAGUUAAGCUUUAAACGUGUAUCAAACCUUUAGAGAAAUAUUAUAGAGAAGGAAUAAAGAAUUCUUAUUCAUAAGAGAUUGAAAAGCUCAUAUACUUGUGUCAAAAUGCGGUAAAAGAUCAUGUUUGUUUUGUACUAAAGUGUUCCUGGCAAAUACCCAACCGUCUCAAUCAUAGUUUAAUAGUGUUCUUUCGUAGCUGAACAAAAAAAUUAGAGCGAGUUUAGUUAUCUAGUGUUUAGGGAAAUUUAGCCCCGGUAUGAGUUUAGUUUUGUUGUCUUUUUNNNNNNNNNNNNNNNNNNNNUUUUUUUUUUUUUUUUUGUAAGAGCUUAAUUUUGUUUGACAAUCAUAAAUUAACCCCCAAUGCGUUUGUUCACAAUAUCUUACUGGGUGAUGUAGAUGGAAGAGUGAAUAUUGCUAGUAAUAUGGAUUAUGGAGACAAAAGCAAAAUUGUUGAGAAGAUGUUCAGAUGGAAUUUGGGCCGGAAGUCUCAUAUCUCUUCUGGAACUUCGGUAGGUGUGGAUUGUGUUUAAGAGUUGAUUGUAAAUUUCUUUGGACGUUAUAUGGUGUUAGAUGUGUAGUGUUUGAGAGAUGCAAUUUCAGGUCUGCGCUUUUGCAUGUCAAAGAGUUGGCUUUAGUUUAUGACACUGAGGGUCAAAAUGGAGUAAAGACGAAACUCCUCAUGAUUGGCAAAUGUUCUUUUACGGUGCAGUAAAUCAGAACGGAAAUCGAGUUGGAAGCAGCCCUUUUCUAUAUGCUAUCUUAAAGCUCGCCAAAAGGAGCCCAGCCCAUAUUCUCAUAGCUGUCAAGUUGAGGUUCUUUUGCACAAAAAAUUUAGUAGAAUAUUAUGCGUGUAUCACAGGCGCUUCGCGCUCUCGACUUGAGAAUCAAAGAGAUUCAUGUAUAUGAAGACGACAUCUCUAAGCAGGGGCGGAUCUAGGUACAAGCACCAUGGGACUCAAGUCCCACCCAAAUAUUUUGGGGAAAAAAUUACUACUUAUAGUUAUCAUUAGUUUUAUGGUGUGAUUGUAAGAUUGUUGAGCUUAAGUCCCACUCAAAUUCCUUCAUCUUGUACAAUUACUAAUCAAAUAUUUUUUGGGAUAGUCUCACUCAAGUCCUAGCUAGCAUUGACGUGAUCCAAGUGUCUAUCGUAUAUUUAAUUUCAUUUUUGUUAAAGAAAGAGAUAAGGUUCUCUAUCUUCUCAAAAAAGAUAAACGUCUAUGUUGUCUGUUGUUUUCUUUUCUUCCUUGCCAUACCCUUGUCACGCAGCAUCGGUGAGGACGCGAGGUUGUCGGUCUUAUUGAAAUGCUUAUUUAGUUUUUUUUUUGUUAUGUCUAAAGUGUUUUAUGAAUUAAACAAACAUUGGAGUGGUAAAGGCCCACUACGUCCUUUAUGACUAGGUUUAUCUUUAUUUUCAAUCUAUAAAUUUCUCUAACACCGUCAAAAAAAAAUUCCUACUAAAAAUCCAAGUCCCACCCGAUUGCAAUUUCUGGAUCCUCCCCUGUCUCUAAGUGAAUGCUUAACAAAAAUCUCCAGAAUGCGCAGCGCACCAUUGAGAGACAAAGGUGUCAAGCGCGGAAUGAGAAAGAGAGAUGUUAAUGAUGAAGGAGUAUGGAGUGAGAGAAUGCGACAAAAAGCUAGCUAGCUGGAGGUUCUUAGCUAUCCACCAUGAUAUAAGCCGCCAAGUAAAGAUUACCAAGUUGGUGUAUAGUGGGUUGAAAUGAUGCCAAGGAGCUGCUCUUUUGAAGAAGCUAUUGGUUUGCUCAAUAUUAAUCUUGAGUUAUCUACUUGGAGGUAAUCUUCCCAUCCAGUUGUUCCAAAGAUUAACCUUGAUCUUAAGACUGUACAGCACACAAGUAUUCAAGGUGGUGUAUUGCUGAACUUUGAGGUUAAGUUAGCUUUCAAGUAAUUGUUUUGUGCUGCGAGUUUCCGGAAUGGUAGGUACUUUUCAUAUGCAGGUGUGACUAUUUCCAUAUCAUUAUAUACAAUGGAACUGUUACUGUACGUAGCAUUUUCCCUGGUCACUUGUGAGCCGCUGUUAGCGUAACUAUGUUGUUGUCUCAAGACUCAUGAGAGAUUGGAAGGUUUGAUUGACUGGAAAAUGUGUGGAGGAUAUCAGGUAUUGUUCUCGGUAUUGCAUUGCUUGUGACCCUGGUAUAGUUAAUAUUCUGUCCUUGCACCUUAGUGUCUCUGAUAUAUGAGCAUGAGGUCUAGAUCGUUCCGUAUUCGAAAGCUGGAAUGACUUUUCUCUGAUUUCUUAGGCUAGGGGUCCUGCACUUCUGAUAUGAGUUUUCGUGGGUGAAACGUGGGUUGGUUUUUGGUGAAGAUGAAGCUCCAUUUUUUAUUUGAGGAUGGAGGAGUAGAUUUGGAGCAGUGGCCCCCUGACUUGCACAUGGCAGUUGAUGUGAUUUGUGAAGAAGAGAAAAUACCUGUAGUUGCAAUUGUUCAUCUCUUUGUUGCAGUUCACCCACCAUUUUUCAUCAUGUUCAGAUGUGCCGUCCGUGGCUCGUCACAGUAGAAAUAGAAGAGCUAGCAUUAGUGACUUUGAUAUAUCCCUCCAAUUUUUAGCAAUGGUUCUGCAAAGAAUGCUUACAGUAGGCAGCCACGAAAAAGAAAAAAGACUAUAUUUGUUCUGACCCUCUGGGAACCAGUAUGGUUUCCAGGAGCAAGAGUGAAGUUGUGCCCCAAAGGAGCUUACAUUGACUCAAAAGGUUGUAGCAAUGAGCAGUCAUAACUCAUAACAAGGGCAACGGUCUGCUUCGGGGGUGGAUCACGUUGGUGAUCAGAAUUCUUUGUUUGAUAACUUGGAACUGAAGAAACAGUCCCAUGUCCGGGAUUUUCCCCAGCUGUUCAGAGCCUGCCUGUUGGUAAUUCAGCUAUAAUUAAUUGCGGGAGAGCAAAUAAAAUCAGCUUUGGCAGAGGUGCCUAAUGCUAUAAAUCUAUAAUGGAAAGCAGCGCGUAUUUCGGUUGGACCUACUGUAGCUGCUGCUAUAGUGGCAAUGGCUGGUCUUAACAUGGCUGAAGAUUUAGCUCAAGCUCCAGCAUGGUCCUCAGUUAUCUGUCGAGUACAAAGGCUCGAGGAAUUGGCUCUCAAGCAGUCGAGGCAAUUGAUGAAUGCUUAUGUUCCUAUCAAGGGUGGCUGCAGCAGCCCCCAAUCUCUUCCUGGGGUGCCUGUCAAGUGUGAUGCUCCGAACACAUCUCAUGGGGAGUUUCUUAUUCUCAAACCAGUACCAUUUCUCUUCUUCUCCAAAAGAUGCCUGUCAAUCCAACACGGCAUUAUGACAUAAAAUCGUACCUGUAGAAAACUAGCGAGACUACUGAAUACUGAUGCUCCGUACAUACCGCACUGCAUUCCUAAUUGAAGCAACAGAAUCUCCCAUUAUUUCAACCCUGAUCUAACAAUAACAGAAUUUCAAGCCCUGAACUAACAAUGAGGUUCAGAAUGUGUGCAAGGCACCGAACAUGCAAGCACUUGCCUCUUAAAACCGGUUACUUCUCCCACCCUAACAUCUUUUCCCUAAUAUAGUCAAAUGCUACCUUGUUUGCACUCGCAUUAUCCACUGAAAUGGUCAAGACUCUCUCCACUUCCUAUUCAAGUAAACAGUCCUCCAAAACCCUAAACCCAGCCUUGGUCAUGGAAUUCCUGAACCCUAAAGCCGGCCUUGGUCAUGGUACUAAUAAAUAAGAGCCUUCAAGACUCACUCAGUGAGCUUUUAACUCAUGUGCUUACAACAAAUUCAUUCUAGAAAGCUAAAUAGAGUAAGGACAUGUUUGCAGAUCAGUCAAAUCCAGUAACACCAGCGAUGGCUUCUUCUUGAUGAUGCACUUUUUUGGGUUGGUGAGAUCGGGGUCAAUGACUAUGCUUACACACUUUGAUCUUCUAUACCAGGUGAUAGAUAUAAUCAGAUGGUACUAAACCGUGACACUCAUAUAUCCCAGGGAAUAUCCACUGUCCGUACAAGAAUGCAAUGCUACUCAUCAGUUAUGACAUAAAGGGAAGGGAUUAGAAGUUCAGACUGAUCCUUUGGAAGACAACCAUGCCUAUCAACUGGGGCAAAUACUGACAUCAAAUAUUACAUAGUGCAGAUAUGCAGCGUUCAUAAAAACCUACACAUAACAUAAAUUUUUUGGCUCCAAUAUACCACCACCUAAGAUUUGAGCAUUAACAAAACUGAAACUUGUAUUAAAAACUACCUCACGACAACGGCACCAUAAGUUCUCAUCUCUGCUGUUGAUGGAUUUAUUUGACACUGGGACAGGCACAUUAUGCUUCUUAGCAUGUCCAAUAGCAUCUUCACUACCCACAGAGUCCCACUCCCUCCAAGGAGCCACCACAUUCAAUUUGGGGUCCAGAGCAAAGAAUGUCGGCUCAAACCGAAUCUAGACAGACAGGGAAGGUUGUGUAAGAGAAACAAUAGAUAUGUUGUAACAUUAAAUGCUUAAGUGCAAAACAUACUUCACCAAUGUUCUUUCCCUGUGCAUCCAUGAGCUACGGCAUCCGCUCCAACAGCUUUGGCAACAUCUACCAUGGCCUGAUUUCAGACAUAGAUAGGAUUUAAACUUCAAAACUGAGACCAAAAUAAAUAAUCUGGAAAGUAAAAUUAUUAGGUACUAAAAGCUAUACUCAACUCUGCCUGAAACAGAGAACUGUUCCCGGAAGAGCCAAGGCAGUUGUUAAGAAAUCCAAACGCUUUUUAAUUGAUUCAGCUGUGCAAUUAGCAAUUGACGAAGGCAAUGAAUUUAUAAUGAAACCAACAUAGAUAGAAUCAAAUUGAGAGAUCNNNNNNNNNNNNNNNNNNNNAAGUAUUCUUGGUUUUACUAUACUCUAUUGUUGAACUGAUGCUUUGGUGGCUUUCAUGAACAAUGUGCUUAUAAAGGCAAAGAGCAUACCUUAGCCAUGGGACAAUGACAGUGUCUGAGCCACCACUAUAGGCCAGAACAACCUUGUUCAUUUUGGCACAUAAUCCAUGAGGAGGAGCUUCGUGUCCUUCUUGAGGUGUAGGAGGGACAUUUCCUCCAUUUGAAUUGUCCUGCAGCUCACACUUGUUCUCACCCAACUGCAUAAAAGAAAAGGAUCUUUCAAGGCCUAUUAGACAAAUCAAAAUUUGAAAUGACUGCAAUUACAUAGGGAAAUCGAUAUAAAACAGAAUGCAUUAUGGAUAUAGGUAGCUCUACCUGAGGUGGAGGAGGAGGGAAAUGUCUUCCAUGAGGAGGAGGAGCUCCAUCUCCACCAGGAGGGGCCUCCUCAGCAGGUGAUGUACGUGUGAAAGCUCUCCAAAGAGUGUAAAGAAGCAUUGACCCAUGAAUCAGGUAACACGUACUCUUGUAGCAAGAAAUACCUUCGAACACACCCGCAGCAUCAAGCUUCAAUGCUAGGACAGCCACUAGUCCCCUCAGUAACACAGCUGGGUUACGGGGCUGACCCUGCAUCAUGUCAUCAGAUGGAAUGCGCCCCCCUGAUUGCGGCAGCUGUUGCGGUGGCUGUGUAACCGGGAUCUGCGGGAGUGGAGGAGGGCCUCGAGGAUGCUUGAUUGGAGUUGGACGCCUGAGUGGAAGCACAGGGAUGCCCCGUGGAGUCCCGGUCCUCAUGCUUACUGCAAUUUGAACUCCGGCAAUAAUAUAUGGCAGACUGUUCACUGCCACACGAACAUACUCACUCUGUACGAUAUGUGCAGCCCUGAGAAAAAUAAAUCAGUGUUUACAAUAUAAAAUUGCUCCAAACAGACCUAUCACCACUCAAAAAUAAUGGAAGCGCAGACACCACAAAACCUAUACUUACAGAACUCUUUUAGAUGGAGCUUUGACAAUAUUGGAGACUAGACCGCCCUCAUUGGUGUUAGCAUCAUCACGCUUCUUCUUAUCCUGUAGAAGAGAAGGUAAAGUUAAGCAAUGUAAUUCUAAAGGACAGCAGAAUAGAACAGAGGAGACGGAGAAGGGAAAAUUACUCACCACACUCUGUACCACAUUCAGUUCACCGUACGGAGAGGUCACAGAGUAUAUCGGAUCCAUUCUGCAGAAAAAAUUCGGCUCCGGAAACCGAAGACGGUCGUCAGAAAGUGAAAAUCAAAAAGUCGAAAACACAGACAAGUAAAAACGACGCCGUUUCUUAUGCUCCGCGCCGGAGAUCGGAAACAGUGUCGUUCAGAACGGCCGAGCAAGUGACGACGCUGUUCCCGGUACUCCAUUACAACCGGCGCGGGAGAUCGGAGACGGCGUCGUUCGGAUCGGCCGGAGCAACGCCGUUUCCGAUUCUCCAUUAUAAUCAGCGCCGAGACGGCGUCGUUCGGACCAGAAAUUCAAAAUGAAAAUCGGUUUACCUGGAGAGAAUCGGAGAGGAUCUGAGGAGACGUGGAAAUGCAGAGAGGGAAUCGCCAGAGACUUGAAAACCCUAAAAUGAGAGAGAGGAGAGUGGUGGGUUUGUACUGAGUCCUCUUUGAAGUCUCGACUGGGUUUCCCGGGUUUUGUACUCGCGCUUUUAAAAUGAAAACCCACUGAGCGCUUUUUUUUUAAAAAACAAAAAAAGAAAUUAAAAUUCUAAGAGGCUUCCUUCCUUGGGAUCCUCAAACAACAAAAAAGUGUGUGAUUUUCUAUUUUAUUUAUUUUAUAUUAAUACUGUUGGGUCAACCGGGUUGGCCGGUUUCUUUAAUGGGUUUCCGGUGAGACGAUCCCGACGAAAAGUCUAUCUCGGCGAUCGGAUGUUUAUAAAUCAAAGUCAUGUGUCGUCGUAAGUAUUUCUGGUCGAGUUGUAUACAACAUUUAAGUUCUUUUAAUCGAAACUACAUUUUACCUAAAAAAAAUAUAUAAAACAAAAUCACACAAGUCUUUAACACAGUUGAGAUUUGAGAGUUGAAACCAAGUAAUAAAGAUGUUAAAAAAACAAACUUAGAGUGAAAUACAAAAAAAAUAGAAAAAUAAAAAUAAUGAUGUGACACGCGAUCUUUCUAAGAAGCCUUCAAUCCAAACGUUUGUUUGGACAUUCCGGAAUGAUUUUAAAUUCAAAAAAGUAAAUAACUUUUUGUCUUUUACUUAACAUGCAUCGUAUAUGAACAUUAAAANNNNNNNNNNNNNNNNNNNNCACCAAGUGACUUAAAAUUUUGAAGGUUUUACUUUGGUUGAUUUUAUUAGCCCUGUUGACACCGAUAUACUUAUCUUAUUAUCUUUCUUUCUUCUACUUCACUUAUUUUCUUCUUACUUGAUGGGAUAUAAAGUUGAUUACCUUGAUUACACUUGAUAUUUACACAUGCAUUAAUCAACAAUGGAGUUUUGGCUUGGACCAAUUGAUAACAAGAAAAUCUAAGCAUCUACUUGUACAAAACGGAAAGAGUGUUUUUUCUUUUAGUUCGGAAACCACUUUUCCCAUAUUUUCCUUUCGUCAAGAAAAAUAUUUUUUAUAUUUUGUAUUUAAAAUACAGGAAAAAAAUAUCUUAUACGCACGAUUACAGAAUAUAAAUUACAACUUUAGAUAUAAUCUUAUACGCACGAUUACUUUUCACGAACCAAAUAACACAUAAUAACGAGUGAAGUAGAAUAUAAAUUACAAUUGGGUGCGGCUAUUGCCACCCCAUCAAAUAUUUUGUUCACCCCACAUUUCAAUUUUAAACUAAAUAUUCCAAUAUUAACCCCAUAAUUAAGAAUUUUUGUGAAAAUAUUAUAUUAAACUAAAAUCUAUAAAAUCCAAACAACAACAAUUCUCUACAUCUUUACAUCGGAAAAAAAAAAACAAUUUUGUACAUCUUUCAAAUCAGAUUUGAAAAUCACUUCAAUCUUCAACAAUGUGGUUAUACAGUGUGGUGGGAUUGUUCGUUCUUAUUUUAAUUUUAUUUAUGGCUUCAAAUAUAGUCUUUCAUAUAUAUAUUCAUAAUCGUAAAGAAGGAACUCAAAAAAGAGAUCGAGGAGAACAUAUAUAAGAUGCGGUUUGAGAAGAAUGGAGCUCUGCAUCAAAUAUAUUGAUGAGAUAUUUGUAUAUAUUUUUAGAUUUUAUCAGAUUCAGGAAAAUAAAAGAAAGAAAAUAAAAACCACAAAAUUUAAGGGAAAAAUUAGAAUGUUAAAGGUAAAAUAUAAAGCGUGGGGUGAACUGAGCAUUUAGUGGGGUAAAAAUAGCCGCACCUAGGGCUGCCACUCGGUCGGUUCGAAUCGGUAAUGGGCGUUACCAACUUCAAAACCAAAGCUUUCGGUAAUGAAAUAUGACUUUCAAUUACCAAACCAAAAACUUCGGUAUGAGAUAAAUCUUACCAACUUCGGAUGUUGGUUUUUCAGUAUUACCAAACUUCACAACAAAUAUAUUUUCAAAAUAUAACAAAACAAUACAAUACAAAACUAUAAAAUUUAAAUAUCACUUGAGUUUCUAGAGUCUGAUAAUACAUAUACAAAAGAUAGUCAUUUCAGUACACAUUAUCGAGCAUGGUUUAAUUUUCUACCGAAAUAGUCAGAAUGUAAAUGUUUCCAAAUUUUUAUAUGAACAAGUUAUGUGUCAUCUAUGUGAAAGUAUGUGUGUGGAAGAGUCGACCAAAAUAAGUCACAUAAGAGCAGUAAAAGCUUUUUCGUAUAAUAAGUGACGUUAAAUUAUGGUUGACCGCUUUGAUCAAGACCCGAGCAUUAUUGAGUACAAUUGAAUUUUCUAUCAUAAUUGUAUUAUACUAUAAUGAUCAUAUCAGAUGGUCGAAUUUUAAUUUUGUGAAUUGUAAUAAUUAGAACCACAACAUGCCUGGUAAUGUGGUAUAACUUAUUUAGUAAGUUAUAUGCAUAUGUAUAUCUUUGUGAACCAACUACAAAGAGGAAGCAAAAUUUUCAAAAACGUUGUGAACUAUGAUGUGAUCAAUAUAGUGAAAUACGACUAUGGUAGAAAAAUUAGGUAUUUUUGAUAAUGUUUUGGCCUUGAUCAAGGCGGCUAACCCUAUUUAUGCUUGUGCUUCCUAUGGGGAGCCUUAUCAUCAAGAGAGGUAAAAACAUUCCUAAAUUUUUACAAGGGCAAUUACAUGUAAUCUAAGUGGGUUUGUCUAUGUGUGUGUGUGAUGAAUCGACUAAAACGGGUAGAUAAGAGCGUUUUUAUAUAACAAGUAACAUUGAAUUAAAGUUGAUCGCUUUAAUUGAGACUCGAAUGCUACCAAGUAUAGUUGAAUUUUUCUAUUCAUUGUCUUGUUUUUUACUAAAUGGUAUAUACUGAAAACGUGAGAUAAGAUUAUUAGUCUGUGUGUUUUUAGAAAUAUAAGUCUUUAAAUAAUUAGAAUUUCGGUAAAUUCGGUAUUUACCAAAAACCAAACCAACUUUUUCGAUAUUUCUUGGUUUCGGUUUUUUUGAUUUUGAUUACCAAAAUUUAAUUUACCAAAUCAUAAAUUUUCAGUCGGUUUUCGAUCUAUUUGGUAUUUACCAAACCAAGUGGCAGCUCUAGCCGCACCCAUUACCCUCAUCCAAUCCAAGACGAGGUCAAGUUCAAGUUGUUUUUAUAGGAUGUUGAGCCAACUGUGGUCAAUAAGCUAAAACACACCGUUUUGAACACAUAACGUCGUAACCGGUCGAUUUGCACGUGACUAUCACACGCAAAUACAGCAGUGAAAUGGCGAAGACUGGGCAAAGCUCUCUCAGUGAGAGAAUGGAGAAGGCAAGCGCCCAUGUUCUAAUCCCCAAGCUCAUUCUCCAAAAGAACGACGAACCCGCCGGCCUCCGAUGGCUGAUCGGAUCCUCAUUUUUCCCUCCACUCACCGUCGUCUCCGCACUCAAAUGCAUCCACACCGAUUCCUCCUCCUCCUCAUCUCCAGACUACUCCAGAGAAUCAGGUACCGUUUUAAUUUUCCGUGAAUUCAAAAACCGAAAUCCAAUUCAUUUCGGUCUCGUCAUAUCAAAUUCCUGAUUAGCUUCGUUAAUCUGAGCAGAAGAGCUUCGGACGUUACUGCCGAAAGGAUUCCACGUCGUCGGAGCUUUAGUUGUGGCCGAUUCCGACGAAGAGAAGCGCGGCGGCGAGGCCGUUGCGGCGGCGAGAAGGUUACGGAAGCUAAUGUGCCGCGGAAGUGAGAGAUUGGAUGAGCAGGGAGUAAUUGGAGCUGUUGCGGAGUCUAGAGGUGGAGGCAUUCGGUUUUACGUGUCGAAAUCGGAGAGUUGUGAGAGGUUUGAGUGUGUUGAUGUGGUGUAUGAUGAUGAUCCGGAGAGGUUUGUUUGGGAGAGGGGUUGUUUGAUUUGGUGUGAGCUUCCUUUGAAGCUGCCGAGUUACUAUCCAGUAAAUAAGCCUUCUGGUAAGUUUGUUUACUCCAUUAUGGUUCUAUAUUUUGUUCGAAUACAAUGCUUAGCGAACUCUACAUAGUGAAAUUGCUAGUUUUGGUUAAAAAUUUGAUCACUAUGGCUUAUUCGGAUGAUUAGUAUGUUUUAGAGGUAGAUGCACACAGUCUAUUUGCAUAGUUUAUUCAAUUGAUGAACAAAAUGCUGCAAAAUUUAAGGCGUUUUCGAUCAGGAACGACACUUUUGUUCAUUUGUACUUUCAUCUUUGCAUUUUGGAACUAUCCACUCUUAUUCUUUAGAAUUAAAUUCAGUUUACGCCCAUGAGGUUUAGGAGUAACUUCAUGUUAAUCCCUAUACUUUCAAUUUCAUCAGUUUACCCCUCAAACUUUUGAAUUUUUCUGAAGCGUGACCAAAUGUCCUAUAUUUUGUCCAAAUCAGACGUUAACUGCUGAUAAUUUUAACCUUAACUGUGAGGCCAGUAUCUAGAAUUUGGGCAAAUCGGACUUUAUAUGUCCAAAUCGGACCUUAACUACUGAUAAUUAAAGGUCAAUUCAAACGGAUUAUGAGAAUUUGGGCACGGCAGACAGAAAUUGAAGAGUUCAAGGGGUAAACUGAUGAAAAUAAAAGUGUAGGGACUAACAUGAAAUCACCCCCAAACCACAAGGGGGUAAACUGAAUUUAAUUCUAUUCUUUAAAUGCAUAGAUCAAUGUGAUACAUCAGAACUUAUCUUAAUGUUCAAUUCUUGUUUAUGAUCAUAUCAGAUACCGUACGGAUCGCGCAGCAUGCAAUUGAAGCAGUUGUUGCCAAGUUCAAAGAUCCGAAGGCUGCAUACCUGGUGGAAACUUUAAGCAAAACUUCAUCUGAAGUACCUCAGCCUGUCAUCAUUCGUGGUGGAGAUUUGGAUUUUGACAUGAAUCUCUCAGAUGUCAAACUUUUGGGUGAAAGUGGCCAUGAUUCUUAUGCUAAGUUCUUGCCAUGUUCUCAUUUUUGUUUGGAGAGUAAAAAAGACUCCCGCGAGUAUUCUGCUGAGGUAAGAGAAGUGUAAGAGAUUCACAGGGGCAUGCACUUUUCAUAUAUUAGAUCGUUGGAAAUCUUAUCUUCUUUUAGCAUGGACGUUCAUAUUGAAUUCCAUUUUGAGAACAUUUUCCUGCUUAGAAUGCAGAUAUGAUCAAAGUAAAUAUUCUGCUUAAUAGUUCAGAGAAGUCUCAAAAAUCCACUGCACCUGUGGCAGAAUACUUUCCAGGUAUUGAUUACAGUAUUAAAUGGUGUUGUGUGUGUGUGUGUAUAUAUUAUUAUUUUAUUAUUAUUAUUAUUGUUAUUAUAUAAAUGAAGCUUUUGUUGUGAAAGUUUAUCUCUUCUAUGUUAAAUAAAUGACAAGUUCUAAAUGUAUGGUUUCAGCUCUGGAAGAAGUUAGAAUGUUGGUUGUAGAUUUCAAGCUAGAAGUGCUCUGUUAUGCAGCCAAAGAUCUCCCACUGAUGCAUGCAGUUUCAAAGUUAGUCAUCCCAGGGUUAAUUGAUCAGUUAAAUAUAGAAGGGAAAACUAUCCUGCCCAACCUAUUAGCGCAACGUCCUCAGGUGAGAGAAACCUAUCUGCUGCAAUAUUGGAUGUUAUCUUGAUAAUAUAACCAUGUGUGUGCUGCCUGAUAUUGUGAAUCUGUGAUAUAUAAAGAUAUCCUGUGAUUCAGAUUGUAAGACCUUAGCAUUUGGCACUUUGUAGUUUGGGUUUACUUCAAAAGUUUUCAUGUUCCUUAUCCCUGGUAAAUGCAUCAGAAGAACUUCUGUUGUUGACAUUAACAGAUAUUCCCACCCAUCAUACUGGUGCUCAAGCUUAUUCAUUUAUAUAGGGCACUAGCACAUAAGUGCUCACAUUAGAAUGCCUCAACUUAGAAACUCUAUGCAGUUCUCCCUGAGUAUUUGAUGCCCAUUCAAAGACAUGUUAUAUGAAAAAGCUUCUAAACUGAUUCAAGAUUAUCCAAAAAUCAAACAUAGUGGCCAUCUUUGAUGUCAAAUAGGGUUACUACUAAUCAAGAUUAGUCCAACUACUGUUAUAUUUAUCUGGCUUUCUUAUUUAAAUUCUAUAAGUAACUAAUUUGUUUUCUGUUUGCAGCUACAUCCCUAUCACUUUAAUCCUCCUGGUGUUCUGCAUCCUAUUACUGUUAUUUAUGAACUCAACUAUGGUGAAACAGAAAUGAAGCAAGGUAGGCAGGUGUAAAUUUGGAGCUUUUAUUAAUGUAUUUUUUAUUUAUAUUUUUUUGAAGGCUAUAAUCUCUUUUUUUAAAAGGAACUUUAAAAAAAAGUCCAAAAUGCUAGAUUUAUUUCAAUUUUCUCCUCUCCUCAUGUCUACGUUGCAUUAGUGUCGGGGAUCUAGACCCUUAUGGGAAUAGUUUGAUUAUGAUUUAGCUAUGUAACUAAAGGACAAGGGCGAGUGUAAUUAGGAAACAACAAAUAUCUGUUCCAGUUCCUGCUUCUUUCAACUAAUAUUUCUGCUAACCUGAUUCCUAGAAUUGAUAGUAUCCUUUUUACAGUCAAGAUUAGCAUUUUCAAUUUUGAAUUUCAGACAGGGAGCUUGUACUACAUUAAUUUGGAAAGUCAUGUUAGGAUCAGUCCAUCUAAGCUUCUCUUUGCUUUCUGCAGUUGAAGUUAGGAAAUCCCUACACGUAAGGCUGGGUUUACCUUGUGAUCGUCCUCUUUUAAGAAUUGCCAGUGCUCUGGAUUUCUCUGGUCUAAGGAAUGACCCAAUACGGAAAGGUACCUAUGUUGGUUCAUCACUUCUGCUCCUGAAAGAAAGUUUUAUUUCCUGGUAGUAAACUUUGUUGCCCAUGUCUAUGCUAAUAUCAGGAACUACUUUGCUCAAGGAUGUACACAUUGGGAUUCCAAGCAGUGGAGGUCCGUGGAUGAUUCUGUUUCCCCGUUUUUUCCAUAAAUUUCUUUUUUAAUGCUUUUUUCCAGCUUCUUCUUAGUGGAAUUUGAGUUGUAACCAUCUUGGCGUAAUGCAGUUUCAGGGGGCAGUGUGUCUCUGGUGCAAGGUUCUUAUGAGUACUACCAUUAUCUACAAGAUGGAUUUAAUGAUUCGGUAAUAAUCUCGUUUAUCAUUAGUUGAGCUGCUACGUAUUUUGAACUUUGUAAUGACUAGACUAAAGGCCUAAAGCUGUCAAAUAAGUUAUUCCCGUCCCUCUUUUUAUGAAGUGAAGUCUUGUUUCCCCCAUUGGAUUGUCGUGCUUUUUUGUUUAAUCAAAUCGUGAAGUAUCUCUAGAGAACCAUCUCUUUGCAUGAAUUCAUUUAGUAAAUUGUCAACUUCUCCGUUUUCUCAUGGACAGUUGUCAGAUAUAUAUGUUGCAGCUGCAGUUCUCUUAAGUGUGAUUUUCUUUUAUUUUCUAGGGCUGGGGCUGUGCUUACCGUUCCCUUCAAACGAUCAUUUCAUGGUUCAGACUCCAACACUAUACAUCUAUAGAUGUUCCGUUGCAUAGGUAUGAAAUUUGGGUCUUGGAGUGUAUGAUUAUUAAUUAUUUGGUUCUUUUUGAAUCCUUUCUCCUUGGAUAUCAGAUAGUAGAAAGCCUCAUGGCUACAUGUUUUCAAAGUUUGGUUUUGUUAAUAGUUGAGGUUAUUCCAAUUUUGAAUCUGUUUACUUGCUAUUUCGUGGAUCCAAGAAUUCACAACAUUAUAAAAAUCCUCGGUUGAUCUGUCAAAAUCUUGAUUCCUUCUCUCUUCCAUUUUUCAGUGCAAUUAUCAGUCUUAUAUGAUCUAACCUAACAAGCUUGAUUUAGGGAAAUACAACAGUCGCUGGUAGAGAUUGGCGAUAAGGAUCCUUCUUUCAUUGGUUCACGUGAAUGGAUUGGUGCCAUUGAGUUGAGCUUUGUUCUGGACAAGCUUUUAGGAGUAAGUAUGAUCAAUGAGAUUUUACUGAUAAUUUCUGAAGUUAAAUGCACCCAAGUUUAAAAUGAUCGGUUUCGUUAUUGAACAGGUCAGUUGCAAAGUCAUGAAUUUUAGAUCUGGAGCUGAGGUUCCUGAAAAAUGUCGAGAGCUGGCCUUGCACUUUGAGAAUCAAGGAACACCUAUCAUGAUUGGUAUAGAAUAAAAUUCCUCUCUUCCCAUGGAUUUGACACUUCAAUACAGAUUGUUUCAAAUAAAAACCACAAAAGUGAAAGAGCUCAAAUUAUUUGGUUUUUGACUGCAGGCGGAGGAGUUCUUGCAUAUACUCUCUUGGGAGUUGAUUACAAUGAUGCAAGCGGAGACUGUGCUUUUCUUAUACUUGAUCCGCACUAUACAGGCAAUGAUGAACACAAGAAAAUAGUGAACGGUGGAUGGUGUGGGUGGAAAAAGGCUGUUGAUAGCAAGGGAAAGAGUUUCUUCUUGCAUGAUAAGUUCUACAAUCUUCUGCUUCCACAGAGGCCUAACAUGGUUUGAACUUUGAACUACAAAAUAUCUUCAAAAUCACACAGUUGUACCAUGUAGGAAUGACUUCCAAAUUUGAUAGCAGUUUAUAGCAUGUUACAAACAUUAGGUUAGGUGAAUGAGUUUAGUGCGAGUAAUUGAAAUUCAAUGUGUUAUUACUCUUCCAUCACUAUAAUUUUAUCGAUGCUAAUCUUAGGAUUGCUUUUUGGAUAUCUAAAGGGCCUUGGGGUUUGCUUUUUGUUUACCUAAAAUGGCUUUAGAGGAGGCUUUAGAGGAUGGAGAAGAUAGGUUGUAACUGUGGAUGUACCAUGUGCCCAUGGAUCAUCAAUGGCCCUUUCAUCUAAAAAGUACAGCUUCAAUAUUACCAGAAACACAAUAAGGCAACACUAAUUUAGAACAUUGUUCUUUGUUAAUAAAAAUCUUAAACCUGUUAAGAGUGAUUUUAACUAGAAGAAAACACUAUGAUCAAGGCUACGAAGAUGCUCUGAUGUCUCUUGAAAAUAGAACUGGCAUCAAUACCGAAACUCAAUAUCUAAAACUCACUAGUAUUGACUAUUGAACUCAUUACAAAGUUUGCACAAAACAGUGAAGCAGUAAGCCUCUUCAGCUCUUCGCUUCUUCCCUACUCAAUUCACAGCGGCUGCAGUGGCCUCAGGUGCCUGGUGUGCAACUUCAUCAUAUGUCCCAGUCUCAGCAUUGUACGAGUACCACAACCCUGACGCUGCCGAGCAAUACAACCCUGUAUUCGGAUCAUAAUAGUACCCCAAGCUGUGACUAUAGUAGUACCCAGAAGCAUCAUCAAACACAUAAUCAUUCCCCAAUCCUCCACCAUUGUUCUCCAAACCCGGCUCAGCAGCAGCAGCAGCAGCAGCAGCAUUGGCCACAACUGCAGGCUCAUCAUCCCCAAACAUAUCAAAUGCAUCAUCAUCAGCCACAGUGCCACCUCCCUCACCACCACCAACACCACCAAUGGACGCGAUCGAAUUCAAAGCCCCAGCAUCACUCUCGAGCUCAUCCAGUAUCGACUUCCCUUCCCCCAUCCUCGCCUUAGCCAAGCUCUCAUACCCCUGCGCCUCCCUCUCGAAAACCUCCUUCUCCUCAUCAUACACAUUGUUCUCCCCAUUCUUCAUCAUCAACACCAUAGCAUCCUCAGUCAGCUGAUCAAACACCGCCUUCCUCUCGGCCGGCAUCUUCUCCUUCUUGUUCCCCUUCAGCCUCCUCAGAGCCUGCAAAACAGUCUCCUCCGGCUCCAGCGCAUCCGCAAUCCGCCUCUUAAUCUUCCCAAUCUCAUCGGAACUCAAAUCCUGACCACCUUCAUCAUCACCUUCACCACCAUCCCCAUUCUUCGCAGCGAAUUUCCUCGUCGUUUCCGGAUCAACAGCCUUGUUCAAGCUAUCAAGCCAAGCAUCCUUGACUUGAUUCUUAUCCACAUACUCCACAAAAUUCCCAUCCGCAUCGAAAUAGCCUUCUUCCUUCUCCUUCUCCAAGUUAAACGGCUCGAACUGCAUGCCGUCCUCAACGAAGUUCUGCCGCCCCGAUUUCCUGGCCUCGUCGCCGGAGGCGUCGUCGUCGUCUGUAUAGAGCUUAGCGAUCUCGCCGCUGAGCUUGACCUUCUCUUCGCUGCGGCGCUUGGCCCUCUCUUUCGCGGCGAGGCUAGGAUCCGUGUGCGGCGUCGGACCGAUCGCAUCGCCGACUCUGGCUUUUUCAUCUUCGGGCUUCACCUUCUUCCCCUUCGGAAACCUAACCUUCUUCGCUGGCGGAGCCUUCGCCGACGUGUCGUCUUCUUCCAAAAUUCGUUUCAGAUUGGAGCGGUCCAUUAAGCAGCUUUGGGUUCAGAUUGAAACGACUAGGGUUCUUCGUAAUUUUAUAUCUCCUAUUUUUCUAUUUAUAUUUAGUUUGUUUUAUUCUUCCGGGUCUGGGAAUCCUUCACAAUAUAGGUUCGGGUCUACCAAGCCCGAAAGUACGUGGCCCAAUUUUUGACAUAACAAAACGCACCGUUUUGAAGGACUAGUAGUUCUACAUUUACCAGUGUAGCGGCAAAGCUAUCCGAAAACCAUGGCUCUCCUACGGCAACAGCUCCCUCCUCCUCUCCCGCUUCCCUUAAUUCACGGUCACUCUUCAACCCAUGGUUUCCUUAAACCCUGUCUUUUUGGGCUCUCUAAAACCCUGAGACUCUUCUCUCUCUACUCAGCUCCUCCUAUUCCAACUUCUAAUUCCUCAUCCUCCAUUUUCCUUCCAUUUCUCGAAGAAGAAGAAGAGGACCAUGAAGAAGAAGAGGGUUUAGAGUCAGUUGCAGAUGAAAAAGAAGAGGACCCAGAUGACCCGAUAGCCAGAUUCUUCAAGUCUCGGACUUCAACCCAAGACCCACAGCGAGAAGGCAAGCUCUCUCUGCAGAAGAAUCGUCGCUCUUCUUGGCACUUAGCUGACGACUUAGACGAUUCCGAACCCGAUUCCGGCGUCGACCCAGUGCCGGAAGUACAAGAACAACAACUGGGUCCGGUGAGUUCUGAUUCAAUUCCAUUGGCAGAUGGAAUUGUGGGGCAGAUUUUGCAGAAAGCUAGGAACUUGGGGCAGAAUUUGACACUGGGAGAGGAGUUGGGAGGUUUUGAAGGGAGGGUUGGGGAGAAGGAGUGUGUGGAAGUUUUGGAGUUGAUGGGUGAGGAGGGCUUGUUGAUGGGUUGUUUGUAUUUCUUUGAGUGGAUGGGUUUGCAGGAGCCUUGUUUGGUUACUCCUAGAGCUUGUUCAGUUUUGUUUCCUAUUUUGGGGAGAGCUGGAAUGGGAGACAAGUUGGUGGUUUUGUUUAAGAACUUACCGGGUAAGGAGUUCAGGGAUGUUCAUGUUUAUAAUGCCGCAAUUUCUGGCCUCAUGUGCUCGAAAAGGUACCACAUUCCCAUACUGUGAUACUAGAUUUUAUUGUUGCUCCAUUCUUAGUGAUAUAAUGAUAAGUAAGUAUACAAUGAAUUACUGCAUGAUGUAAAUGUAAACUAUAGCAAUGUUACCUGCGUUAUGUAAAAUCUUGUUCAUGUAAGUUUGAUGUUAGCUGGAAAACCAAGGUUUGGCAAAGCUGUAGUUAUUGAUGCAACUCAGGUAGGCAAUGCAUGCAAAUGAUAAAGCAACUUACUGGAAUUCGUUGCUGAUAUGUAUCAACUUAUUUCAGGUAUGAUGAUGCUUGGAAGGUGUAUGAGACGAUGGAAGCUAAUAAUAUCCUUCCGGAUCAUGUGACGUGUUCGAUAAUGAUUACUAUUAUGCGGAAAAUUGGUCGCAGUGCAAAAGAUUCAUGGGACUUCUUUGAGAGAAUGAACAGGAAAGGUGUCAAAUGGAGUCAGGAAGUUUUGGGUGCACUUAUAAAAUCGUUUUGUGAUGAGGGGCUGAAGAGUGAAGCCCUUAUCAUUCAGAUUGAAAUGGAGAAGAAAGGGAUCUCGUCAAAUGCUAUUGUAUAUAAUACUUUAAUGACCGCAUUUUGUGAUUCCAACCGGGUAGAAGAAGCUGAAGGCCUGUUUACUGAGAUGAAAUCAAGGGGAAUUAAACCCACAUCUCCCACCUUUAAUAUUCUGAUGGAUGCAUACAGUAGAAGAAUGCAGCCUGAGAUUGUUGAAAAGCUUUUGGUAGAAAUGCAGGAGAUGGGGUUGGAUCCAAAUGUCAAAUCCUAUACAUGUCUUGUUAGUGCGUAUGGGAGGCAGAAGAAUAUGAGUGACAUGGCUGCAGAUGCAUUUCUGAGGAUGAAGAAAGUUGGUAUUUGUCCCACUUCACAUACGUAUACAGCUCUUAUCCAUGCAUAUUCUGUCAGUGGCUGGCAUGAGAAAGCUUACAUCGCAUUUGAGAACAUGAAAAGGGAAGGACUAAAACCCUCCAUAGAAACAUAUACUGCUUUACUGGAUGCAUUUAGGCGUGCGGGUGACACUGAGAUGUUGAUGAGAAUUUGGAAAUUGAUGAUCAAAGAGAAGGUUCAAGGGACUAAGGUGACAUUCAACACUCUUCUUGAUGGAUUUUCUAAGCAAGGUCACUAUCUUGAAGCAAGGGAUGUGGUUUCUGAAUUUGGGAAUAUGGGUUUGCAGCCAACAGUGAUGACAUAUAAUAUGCUGAUGAAUGCAUAUGCACGUGGAGGGCAACACUCAAAGUUGCCACAGCUGUUGAAAGAGAUGGAAGUUCUCAAUUUGAAACCUGAUUCUGUGACUUACUCAACCAUGAUCUAUGCCUACAUCCGCGUGCGUGAUUUCUCAAGAGCAUUUUUCUAUCACAAGAAGAUGGUGAAAAGUGGUCAAGUGCCAGAUGCCAGGUCUUAUGAGAAGCUUAGGGCAAUUUUGGAUGUUAAACUUGCAAAAAAGAACAAGAAGGACAAGAGUGCUAUACUGGGUAUAAUUAAUAGCAAGAUGGGUAUGUUGAAAAUUAAGAAGAAAGGAAAGAAAGAUGAGUUCUGGAAGAACAAGAAGAAGCGUUAUGUGAGAGCUGAUAAUGCAGUUAACAAUACCAACAACUAAGGCUGGAGUCCUAUCUCUGGCUCAUCAUUUUCUGGCCCUUCAAAACUAGUUAUGAGAUAGUUGUUGCAUUUCAGGACAGUCUUAAUACUGACCUUGUAAAAAGUCUGAUUCUAUUAUGGUGAAAGUUUGUAGUCUGUACAAAUUUGUAUGAUUCUUUGCCAGAACAAGAAUAAUGGCUACAGCUGAUGCAGGCCAGUCUCCAUUGAAGCAUCUAGGUAAGCUUGCAUCUGCUCAUAACUUCAUAUAUUGUUGUAAACUGUAAUAUCUUUUGCUUCCUCAGUCCCUUACGAUAAUCUUCACUAUUGAACUGAAAAGGUUAGCAAGUCUUGUCACUGGAGUGAGCUGCAUGUUUUAGAACUAGUCACAAUUUCAACCAAUCUUUAAUCUUUUCCUCUGUGUGUAGCUUCGAAUAAGUUGUCUGGCAAUGAUUGAGGAAUAAUUCGCUGAAAUAUUUUCUUGUUCUUCCUGGCAGGUGACUUUUAUCCCAACACCACCUCUUUGCUUGGGUUGGCUGAUAAAUCCCACAGAAUGUUCAAGAGGAUAAAAUGAGCAACACUAAAACCUAUGGCUAGUAAUCUGCAACACCAACCAGCACCAUCAUUCCCAAACUAGGAAAUGCAAACCUCUUUGUCUGAUGGUACAAUGAAAGUUUAAUUUUUCUCUUGUCAAUGCUUUCCGUCUUGAUUGAAUCAUGUAAACCAUAGUCAGAGGCUAAAAGCUAAAGCAAGUUCCUUCCUCAUUCCUUUAGCAAUGCAGAGUUCUUUCUAGCAAUCUUCAUUAACAGACCCACCAACCUUUUUAGGUUUUAUUUGAUGAUGUAAUUACCAGGGUCAUUUCUUUUCAUUUAUAUUGAAUCCUCACAGUAAAACAUUGAUUACGCCAAUCCUCACAGUAAAACAUUGAUUACGGUAAUCAUGUAACAUUAACUAAUCACUUCAAUGCUUUAACCUAGAUGGAAAUUAAAGAUUCCAACAAAUUAAAAAUAAAUAAAUAUCGAAUUAGGACAAAAACAGGGGGCAAUAUGGUAAAUGACAAACGCGCCCAACGCAAAACCCUAGAGCGGGUAACGCAGAGCCGGGUGUAAGCAAAAUAGAGGGGCAACGAGGAGGAGGAGAGAGAAGGUAGUAGUAUUAUACUUUAGUGUUUAGUCCUUAGUCCCUGGCCGAAGCGCCAAUGCCACGUGGACAGUCCUAUCGCUAAUACUCCCAAAACCACCACCGAUGACGUGUACCCGGUAACCGUAGCCUCCCUAUAAAACCCUUCUUCUCCCCUCAAUUUCGUUCUCAUCCAUUUCUCUCCUCUCUCUCUCUUUCUCUCUUCAACCGAUUGCGACUCGAUUCGGAUCGGACCUGAUCUCGUCCCGAUCCAUUCGCCGCCGUCGUUCCCGUAGACCACGACUCGUCGGCGCCGGUGGACUUCCCGGAGCUCCGACUUGGAGUGCGUUCCCUCUCUCUCCUGUCUUGGCUCGAGAUCCGGGCCAAGCACAGAGGAAACGGAUUCUGGUUUCGGAUUCAGCAUUCUUCCGCCUUGUUCCGAUACAGGUACACUCUCUCUGACUUCGUCUUAUGCUUCUUGCUGAUUUAUUUGCUGUAUUCGCUCAGAAAAAAUCGAUUCGAAACGGUGCGUUUGGUCUCUCAUUGUGCUUCGCCUAUCUCUCAAUCUAUUAGUAGCCAAAAACAGCUUGUAGUGGAUUCGUGUUUAUUUCUCAUCACGUGUAGAAUGGUUACUUUUCGCAGCUGAAAGUAAUUUUUUUGGUGCUAUUGAUGAUAUUAGAGCAUAUUUAGGCUAAAACAUGUGUUGCUUUUAGUUUUUUUUUUUUUUUUCCUACUGAUUGAAUAGUUGUUUAGCUGUUUGAGAUGUAGUUUGGGGUUUAAGACUGUAGUAUAACUUAUUGUAUGAUUAUAUAUAUAUAUNNNNNNNNNNNNNNNNNNNNAAAAAAAGGUGAGUUUGGUGGCAAUUGAAUGGUGUUGAAUUUAUACUAGUUUGGAUAGUUUUGAAAGCAUUGGUACUUUAAAUAUUAGAUGGCUAUUGAUUGAAGGUUGGUAUGCAUGCAAUGGUGUGUUGUGUAAACGGUGUUCUGUGUACCAAUGUUUUGACUAUGUCUCACUAUUAUAGUAUCCAAUUGAUGUUAUCCUGUGGACCUAUGAUUGAACAUUGAUUUUAGUGAAAUUGGGGGUUACUGCUAUACCUGUGCUGUUCUACUACACUAUAGUCUUCCACCUGUUCUUAAGAAAUCCUAUUGCGGAUAAAUGAAAUAAGUCAAAUUACUUUGCUUUUGGUACUUUACUUUAACAGGGUUGACCUAAUUAUGUAUGAUACUAGUCAUUUUCGCAAGAUUGUGACCAAAUCCUGAAGCUUUAGACGGGAUACAAGUAGCAUUUUCAUCUGUAAGGCUGCUAAUGACUUGAGAAGCUAUGCUAUUUAGAACCAGUAUAGUGCUUUAGUUUACAUUCGAAUUGAUAUUAUUUGUCUUUCUACCUCCCCCUGUUAGUUAAAUUAGUUUAUGACUAAGCUGACUGUUGC